rnacentral:lncRNA from 1 species
CUUGUUUGAGUAUUAAGAUAGUAGAAAUCUGAUGUAGAACUAUUUGACAAUUAAUAGGUUGAGUGUAGUAUGACUUGUAACUUAUAAAAUCUUAUAUCUUGAGUUUUGAAGUGUGAUUGAUCUAGUGCAUUUUAUUCUGGACAAAUAAACAAAAUGGUAUUCAAUUUUGGAUAUAAACAUGUUUUUGAAUCAAUUCUAGUGUUAAGGAUACCAUUUUAGUCAUAUUUUGGUCAUUUAAAUAUGUAUUAGGGGUAACCAAAUUAAAAAAAAAAAUUACAUUGUUGUAAAAAAACUGAUAGGAAUAAUCAAUUAUCGGUCUUAAUGAUCAAUUAUUUCAGUCAAAAUUAUAUUUUUGUUGAAAAACUUUAUAGAAUAAUUGAUUAUCAGACCUAAUAAUCGAUUAAUGCAUUAGGUAUUAUGAGAUAAUAUGUCAUGUUCGAAAAAACAAAAAAAAAAGUGAUAAUUUUAAAAUUUUAAUCAACUUUUUAGCCUUAGUUGUUUAGAAAAUCAAAGCAAAAAGUGCAUAUGACAUAACCAAUGCCAUGUCUUUUUUCACAAAAGACAAAUAAAAAAAAAAGUGUUGUAACCAACCUUGGUCGAAGUUGUAUCCUACUUUAGUAAAGUUGUAUCGAAUCUUGGUUGAGUUGUAUAUAAUUAUGGCUAAGCUACAUCAGAUCCAUCCUUACCUAGAUAUGUGAGAGUGAUAAUUUUGAAAUUUUAAUUACCUUUGGACCUCAUAAAACAGAGACAAAAAGAACAUAUGGCUUUGGUUAUGUGAAACUUGAGGCCAUAUAUAUCAUCUUAAAAAAAUAGUAGAAUUUUUAAAAAUUUUAACACAUCUUUUGAUCUCAAUUUUCUAUUAACUAAUGCUAAAAGAGUUACAUGACUUCAAUUCUUUUGAAAUCGAAGUCAUUUAUACUCUUCAAAUAAAUAAAUAAAUAAAAGAGAAACACGAUUUUUUGAAAAAUUUUAAAAUUUUUGACAUACUUUUAAGUCUCUAUUAUUUAUUAAUCAAUGUCAAAAGAAAUAUAUGACUUUGUUUCUUUUGCAACUGAAACUUAUAAAUUUACAAAAUUUUUCAAAAAUAUCAUCACAUCAUUGUAUACUUUAAUUUCUUUAAAAUUAAAAUAUAUUUCACGAGUUAAAAUGUCAUACACUAUUAAUUUUAAAAUAAAUACUAAUGUAAUAUUUAUAUAAAUAUAAUGUUAUUACGAAAUAAUAGUAGUAAUCAUUUAAAAAAACAAGUUUAUGACAAUCAUUAUUAAUAUUUUGUUUUAAGAUUUAAAACUAAACUUACUAUAUUUAUUGGAUUAAAUCAUACUUAAAACUUAAUUUAUAUAUGAUGAAUCAAUAAAUUAGUUACUAAAGUAAUAUUUGUAUAAUUUGUUAAUGAAAAGUCUUGGAGAAAGGCAUGUCUUUAUAUGAUCACCAACUAUAUAUAUAGCUAAGUCUAGUUAUGGAAGCAUGAACAUAAAUGGCACCAAAACAUCUUUCUCACGUCAUAUCAUCACAGCCAUUCAUUUAUUAUUUUAUGUCCUUUUAGUUAUUUUUCUCUUCCUUGGCUCUUAAGAUUUGACUAAGACUUGUGUUUGACUAUAUACAUGUAUCCAAAUAUAUGCAUGAGUGAUUAAAAUCAGAACCCUCACAAUAGAAAGAGUGGUGAACGAAUAAGGAAAUUUUCAUAAUCAUGCAAAUUAGAAUCAUUAACCCUUUUCGAAGUCAGCUUUAAAAAGAAAAAAAAAUAUUCAAAACAGGUAAUGCAACGCGUUGUCAAAAAGUGGAGAAAGUUUUGUAUGAAAACGAGUAAGAUGAACAGCUUCAAUUUAAAGUGCUAGCAUUCGAAGACAUAGUCUGAUUAAUCAAGUGACAACCAAAAGCAGAGGUUUCUGAUUGGCAUAUAAGAUGGGUCUUCGUUCCUCUUCACUCAACCGCCCUCACUAUCCAGGCAAGUUAUCAAAACAGCAAAUGGUUCGUUCCAUUCGAAUUUUCCAUAACGGGUUCGGUUCCUCUGUUUUCAGGUUCAUCAGACAUUCACGGCAGCAACGUUGAGUUUUCCGUGAGAGAAGGCAUAGACAGCGAAUGCUCUCCUCUUCUUUUUCCCGGUGGCCAAAUUCUGAAAUGGCCAGAGUUGAAGGUGUUCAGUUUUAAGGAGCUGAAAUCUGCCACAGAGAAUUUUAAAUCUGCCAGAUUGGUCGGUGAAGGUAGGUUUGGCAUAGUUUACAAAGGAUGGUUGGAUGAGAAGACCCUCACCCCCGCCAAACCAGGAUCUGGAGUUGGAGUUGCCAUCAAAAUGUUCAACACGGAAGGAACUCGAGGGUUUUUACUGUGCCAGGUCUUCUUUUAACAACACUUUUUUAACAAUUUUCUUAUUGACAUUUUGUGAUUGGUCCGUUUUAAAUACUUUUUAAAAUAUAAAUUCAAAUAGAUCAAUAAAGUAAUUACACGUGUACCGUUGUAAAAAAAGUUGUAAAAAAAUGUUGUAAGAAAUAUCAUGAUCCUUUAUUUUAAUCUCAUUUACAUUUUUUAAACUUUGACUUUUAAAUUUUUAAUGAAUUGGAACACUUCCAACCUUAGAUUAAAGUAAUUGCUAUCAUGUUUACAAUGUGGUAAAGUUGGAUGAACAUGUCCUUUUCUAUCAUGUUGUUAUUUUACUUGUGAUGUUGCAUUUAAUUUCCGUGUCAUAAAUCCUGUGUCUUGAACAACUUGAGUUGCUAUAUAAACAUGAUUUUGUGUUGGUUGGAAAAUGCAGUCUGAGAUAAACGUUUUAGGAAGGCUUUCUCACCCCAACGUGGUCAGGCUAUUGGGGUACUGUCGGGAAGAGGAUCAGUUUCUUCUUGUGUAUGAGUUCAUGCCGAAGGGAAGCCUCGAGUGUCAUCUCUUCCAAAGUAUGAACUAGUGACAAUUAAAACAGAUUGAAAGAAACAACUCUUGACUUUGAGUUUAAUUCAUAUUAUUUGUCUUGUUUCUGAGCAGAAAAUCAUGACAUGGAACCACUUUCGUGGAACACCCGGCUUAAAAUUGUUAUCGGUGCAGCUCGGGGAUUAGCUUUCUUGCAUGCCAACGAAAAUAAGGUCAUGUUCAGAGAUUUCAACACCUCAAAUAUACUGCUCGACGGGGUGAGUUAGUUUUUGUUCGUAUGAAAUUUUGAUGAAUGGGCUGUUACUAAUUUGGACCCAUCAUUGGUUUUGACUAGGCAAACUCAUUUUGAAAGUGUUUAACUCCAUCUUUUAACAUACAACCUGAAAAAUGCAAUAUCUUCAUUCUCAUAGUCUCUUGCUUAGGGCUAUUAAUAAUACUAUAGACCCGUUGAGUAGUUGAAAAAUAAUAUUACAUGAUGAUACUUUUAAAUUGAGUGCUAAAUUCCUCAUGUAACUUUGAUAAUAAGGGAUUGCUUUGUAUAGUACAGAAUUACAAUGCAAAAAUAGCAGACUUUUGGUUGGCUGAAGGGCUUCCAGGGGAACAAUCACGUGUAAGUAGCAGUGUCAUCAUUGGUUAUGUUGCACCAGAAUAUACCGCAACAGGUAACUAUAUCUGGUUUAUUUGGUUUGAGGAAGUAUUAUUUGUUUUUAUUUCACAUAUUCACUAGUAAUUACUUCAAUGACACCUGACUUCUUGAUUUCAAAGAAGUCAAAGACAAGAAAACAGAGUUUUUUUAAAACAAAGCCAUGUUAGAAGUGGAUUUUAGGUCUAACUUAUCCCCACAAAACUGGCUUGUAAGGUGAGGUCUACACUCCACUUAUAUAUUAUAAAUUGGCCUUAUCACUAGUCGAUUUGGGACUUUCAACCGUUGGGAAAGGUAGACUAAAAAUAAGGAGUAAUGAAGUCUAAUUAAUGCUUUGACCUACGAGAGACUGAAUUGUGUUUGGAUUGUAUAAAUAUUUGAUAGGGCAGUUGCAUGUGGAGAGUGAUGUGUAUGGAUUUGGUGUGGUGCUUCUUGAAAUACUUACAGGCAUGAGGGUAUUGGACUUUACAAGGCCACUAGGGCAGCAGCAACUGGUUGAAUGGACAAAAACUUGUCUCUCUUCCAAAGAGAAGUGGAAAAACAUUAUUGAUGAUAGGAUAAAGGAUUGAAUUUCACCCAAGGCUGCGUUAGAAUCAGCACAACUUGCUCUAAAAUGCUUACAGCAUAACCGUAAACAGCGUCCUUCAAUGAAAGAAGUUCUUGAAGGAUUGGAAGCCAUUGAAGAUAUCCAUUGAAGAUACCCAACUUAUAUUUGUAAUUUUUUUUCUUAAUAUUUGCUAGAUUGGUUUCAAGUUUAAAAGACAAAAUAAAUCUUUAUAUCUAUAAAAAUCAAAUGACCUAAGGAUUAGAUUCAAACUAGCAAAUAGAAAAAACUUUCAUAAUUCAUUAGUUAUCUUAUGUUGAGUUUUACGUGUGAAAUAAAUCGUCAUUGUUUCUAAAUUUAAUUUAUAAGAUUAAGAGAAUUUUGGAUAUUAAAGAUUAUGAUUAAAUAAUUUUUAUUUACUUUUAAUUUAUAGAAGUAAGAGAAAUUUAGAUAUUUGUUUAGAAUUGUAAUUAAAUAAUUUCGAUAUAUAUAUUCUUUAAACUUAAAUCAAUUUAACCUUAUUUGUGAAUAAAAAAACUAUUGCAUAACAAUUGUGGGACUUUUGGUCUUUUGGAUGAAUACAUGCAUCAACAAUACAUCUUCACCUCUUCAAUUUGAAAACUAGUUUCAUUUACUAAACAUAUUUUAUAAUAAAAUUAACUAUUGUACUAUAUCACUAUUAAUCAGGUUUAUGAAUUUUUAAUGAUUUAUGUAUUUUUUUUAUUUUUUUAUUAAUUUAAAUUAAUGUGUGAGAGUUCAGUAAAGAAAAGUUAUUCUUAAAAGUAAUAAAUAUGAUUUAAAAUAUAAAAUAAAUAUAAUUUUAAAAUUUGCAUGUUUUCAUUGAUGGUUGAUGAUAUUAUAUAUUAUAUAUUAUAUAUUAUAUUAUUAUUUUUAUUUUUUAUGUUUAUCAAUAUAUUUAUUUUUGUAUUGUAUAUUUAUAGAAGUGUCUUCUCUUUCACAUGCCUUAAAAAUUCUAUUUUGAUAAAAGAGAUUUGAUGUGACAUUUUAAUUUUUAGAAAAACUCUUUACUCUUAGAGUGUCACGUGAAAAAUUACUUUACUAAAAGUUUCUCAAUUAAAAAAAUGAUACAUGGUCACUAUUUUUAUAAGAAAACUUUCAACGAAGAGUUUACCAUGUGGAAAACCACUUUAACAAAAGUUUUCCACCAGAAAAAUGACACAUGGUCACCACCUUUGUAAAAAGUUCUUCACUAAGAGGUUGUCAUGUGGUCACCAUGUCUCACGUGGGACAUCCACCACCAAGUUAGGAUUACAAAACUGAUCACCAAAAAUUAACUUAAGCUAGGUGGAAAUAUUGUCCUACAACUUAAGCAAGAUUGUUCAAAAAUCUUACAUUACUUGGCCCUUAAUACAACGCCUAAAAAGAAAUCCCACACAAUUUGACCCUUAAUUCAAGGUCUAAAUAUUCCUAAUCUACUAUAGGCGCUUCAUGAUAUCUAAAGAAAGGCACUAAAGUAGAUCACAAAAAACCAAAAUAGCUAGAAUAGAAAAUGGUUGCUUCUUGUUUCACAAGUAAUGAGCUAAUGGUGCACUAUGAACACUUUUUAAGCAUCAAAUCUAUGGGUUGAAGUUGCUAGACAAAGACAAUAUGUCACAUAAAACCAAUCAUAAAAUCAACAUGAAAGUUCAUACACAAAUUAGUGGUAGUGGUCCCUUGUAUACACUUUUGCUUUUUACUUUUGUACUUUUUCUUUUAAACUAUUUGUCUCUUUUAUUUUCUUUUGUUUUUAACACACAUAAACACCAUUACACACCACAGAUAAUAUUUGAAAAACUCUUUUAGAAGCUCAAAAGUUUUUUAGACACAAAAUGGAAGGAAAACCUACUAGAAUCAAAAUAGAGCAUAAAACUCAAACGAAACUUAACUCUAAGAACUUGUCAAUGGUCUAAUGACAAAUACGAACUCAAAUAUGUAAAAGCACUCAAAUGGAUGUAUAUAGUGUAGUUCCGAAAUCCAAGUUGAACAUAUUUUUUUGUGUUUUUUUCAAAGCUCAAACUAUGAGAAAAUGACAUAAUAAUGAGUACACAUGAUUCUAGAUACCAUGGAUGGAUUUAAAAAUAAAAAUGACCCAACAAAACAUGAAAACUGAACCAUAUAAAUGAAGAAUGACUCAACAAAAUAUAAAAGCACACAAACAACACAAAUAUAUGGAAGCCUAAAGAAAAUAUGUGAAUGGUUCUAAAGAAAGAACGAGACUAAAACCAAGAAAAAAAAAAACAUAGUUUGGACUUGAAAAUGAGACAAUAAAGAAGCCUCCUCCUCAAACUAGGUUGGGCCAAAGCAAGAAGAUGAAGCUAUAAAGGUGGAAGUGGUGCGGAAGAUAUGGGGAUAAUGGUGGUUGUUCUUAGUUUAGAGGUUUAAGUGGUGGAAUGAAGAUGAUUGAUGGUGCUCUUAGAGAGGUUGACCAACUCUAGAGAUGAGUGGCUAGAGGAACCUCAUGGGAUGCAUGGGAUGCUUUAGCUAUGACUUAGAGACAAGUUAAGAAUGACUCAAUAGUUUGACAAUUUUUUAUUACAAAUCUCAAAGUGGGUUUACAAAGAGGGAGACACUUUGGUUGAGUUGUAUCCGAUUUUAGUUAAGUUGUUGUAUCGAAUCUUGGUUGAGUUGUAUCUAAUUCUGGUCAAGCUACAUCAUACCCAUCCUUACCUAAUUCUGAAAUUUUAAUUACCUUUGGACCUCAUACAACAUAGGCAAAAAGAACAUAUGGCUUUGAUUAUGUGAAAUUCGAGGCCAUAUAUAUUCUCUUAAAAAAUAACAGAAUUUUUAAAAUUUUAACACGUCUUUCGAUCUCGAUUUUCUAUUAAUUGAUGCUAAAAAAGUUAUAUAGCUUCGAUUCUUUUAAAAUUGAGGUCAUUUGUACUCUUUAGAAAAAUAAAUAAAUAAAUAAAUAAAUAAAAGAGAAAUGCGAUUUUUGAAAAUUUUUGAUAGUCCUUUCAGUCACAGUUAUUUAUUAGUCGAUGCCAAAUGAAAUAUAUGACUUUGAUUCUUUUGCAACUGAAACCUAUAAAAUUACAAAAAAUUUCAAAAAUACCAUCACAUCAUUAUAUACUUUAAUUUCUUCAAAACUAAAACAUAUUUUAGAAGUUAAAAUGUCAUACACUGUUAAUUUUAAAAUAAAUACGAAUGUAAUAUUUAUAUAAAUAUCAUGUUAUUACGAAAUAAUAAUAGUAAUGAUUUAAAGAAACAAGUUUAUGACAGUCAUUAUUAAUUCUUUUUUAUUAAAGAUUUAAAACUAAACUUAUUAUAUUUAUUGGAUUAAAUCAUACUUAAAACUUAUUUAUAUAUGAUGAAUCAAUAAAUUAGUUACUAAAGUAAUAUUUGUAUAAUUUGUUAAUGAAAAGUCUUGGAGAAAGACAUGUCUUUGUAUGAUCACCAACUAUAUAGCUAGGUCAAGUCAUGGAAGCAUAAACAUAAAUGGCACCAAAACAUCUUUCUCACAUCAUAUCAUUACAGUCAUUCAUUUAUUAUUUUAUGUUCUUUUAAUUAUUUUUCUAUUCGUUUAAGACUUGACUAAGACUUGUGUUUGACUAUAUACAUGUAUACAAAUAUAUGCAUGAGUGAUUAAACCUAGAUUUAAACAAGUUUUAUUUCUAUGUAAAUAUAAUUUUAUCUAACUUUAUUUUUUUAAGAAUUUUUUUUAUAUCUUGACCUUUUUAAAAGUUUCUACGACUAAUUAGUUUAACAUUAAAAAUUUAGGUAUGAUAAUUAAGAUGAUAAAAAAUAUUUCAAAUUAAAAUAGUUAUAUUAUUUUUAAGCAUGUAAUUCCAUUAAAUAGUAUAUAUAUAUAUUUUGCUUUUUUAUAAAUAAUAUAGGUACACACAUUUUUUAAUACAUUUUAAUCAAAAAAAUUAUAUAAUUUUUUUUCUUUUAUAUUACUUGUAUUAUAUAAUCAUUAUUUCUUAACAAAUACAAUUUAAAGAAGAUAGUUACGUAUAAUUCUUAUUUUAUAUUACAUAAUACGUGUUUAUAACUUUCAGGUUAAAAAUAUUAGUAAAAGAAUAUAUCAUAAACAUAAUUACUUUUUAUAUUAUUUUUUAAUAGCAUAAAGAUAAAAAAGGGAAUACCCGUAUUAAAAAAUGUUUAAUUUUAAGGGAUUUAUUAAGAGCGGUGAUAAUAUCCUACUAUGAGACAAAACUAGUAUUAAAAAUUCCUUUUAAUGUCAGGAUUUUUUUAAAAAAUGUCAGGAUUUAAAAUAAAAAAAAAACUCAAUAAAAUUUGUUUGUUUAAAAUUUCACACCUUAUUUUUUUUUUAAUUUUUUCUCUUUUCUCAUAAUAUUAAAUUUUCAUUAUUCAUUUUUUUUGUUUUCCUAUUGAUCGUACUAGAGGAAAAGGAAACAUUGGUUUACAUUUUAAAAAAAUACAACAAAGUAAACUCCACGGAAAAUACUGAAAGUUAAAUGUUGACGUAAUAAGAGUUUUACAAACUGCAGGUGAGUUUCGCUUUUUCAGAAAUUACCAAAUAUUCCGUUAAUACGUUAUCGUGGACCGACUCUAUAAUAAAAAUAACACAUUUAACAAAGAUCAAAACGAACAAGAAAUAUUAUAUAUAAUUCCAUUAAAAUUAACAUUUUUGUAGUGACUUUAUUUAUAUUAAAUUAUUCAUAACAACUAAAAUCAAACAGAAACAUAUUUAUAGAGUGUGGAAAAAAACCCUGAUAUUUGAUAUUUGUGGUGGAAAGGUAGAGUUUCGUGUAAGAUUUUUAAAAUAUAAAAUCAGAGAAUAAAAAUAUUUUAAAAAGAGACGAAUUAUUAAAAUGUUGAAAGAAUUAAUAGCAUCACAAGAUUUUAUUAUAUAUUUCCGUGAAAUUAAUAAUAACGUAUUAAAAAAGGUAAUAUGAAGAUGUUCUGUCCUUGGGUCACUCCUUGCACCGUUACUACUAUUAUGACUUGUUAGCUGAGUGACAGCGAACGCGCUUUCAAGUCUCUUGGGUCCAUUCACUGAUACAAACACAGACACACACCAAUCACAACUGAAGCUGUCAUUACAUGUUACCUUAGAACUUAUUAGAACUUGGAACCAGUCCAUGCUUUUGCUUCUUCCUUCUAUAUCUUCUUCAACUACAUUUUUUUAUUUUCUUAAUACGUUUAAUCUUUCCAAAUUUGCUUCCUUUGGAUAUUAAUCUUAAAUUCUUGCAAGAAACACGCUUUUCUUGCAGCAAGAAUGGAAAAGAACAGGAAACUCAGCCGGUUGCAGGAUCUUUGUAUAGCUUCGCGCCUUGUGGCGGUUUUUUUCUUGUUUCAGAAUUUGGGUUUCUGUUGUUCUUUGAAUGAAGAAGGUACUUCAGUAGUGGUGGGAUUUUUGGGUUUGAGGAAUUUGGAUGAUGCUGAAACGUGGUUUCUGUGUGCAGGUAAUGCUCUUUUGAAGUUCAGGCAGAGAAUAGUGAGUGACCCUUUUGGUGCUUUGUCAAAUUGGGUGGAUGAUGAUUCAUCUUUUGACCCUUGUAAUUGGUUUGGAGUUGAGUGCUCAGAUGGAAGAGUUGUGGCCUUGUAAGUGCUGAUUUUUUUAACCCUUUUUCUCAGAAACUGCUUAUUUGUAACCAAUGCUGUGGUAUAAUUCAUGGCCACACAAGAAAAAAAGAGGAAUUUUUAUGUUUUUGUUUCCUAUUUCUGAGUUCUCUCUCUCUCUCUCUCUUUCUCUCUUUUCAUUUGUAUCAUCAAAUUCAUUUGGCUCAACGGAUUUGAACAGUGUUUUAACUCAAGUUAUCAGCUCCACAGGCAGUUGCUGUUGUAAUGAACAUUUUUUCUUCAUUAGUCUCUCAUGUUAAAAUUAUUUCCCAGUGUUCAUAGUGUUAAACAUAAAAGAUUUAGUUGGUCUGGAAUUUGAAAAGUCCACAGAAACAGGCUGUUAUCAUAACAGCUUUUGAACAAUAGUCUCCUCUGUUUUGAAAUUUAACUUGAGUGAUUUUGUGCUCAGGAAUUUGAAGGAUCUCUGCCUUGAAGGAACUCUGGCACCUGAGCUUGCGAAACUUAUCCACAUAAAGUCCAUGUAAUUUUUCUUACUUGGUUUCAUUCCCUAUCUCGGUUCCUUUCCUUCAUUAGUUCUAUUUUGGCCUUUGAUCGAAUAAUUGGAGGGUGAAUAUGCUGCAGUAUUUUACGGAACAACUCUUUCUCUGGGACAAUCCCUGAAGGAUUUGUGGAGUUAAAAGAAUUGGAGGUUUUGGAUUUGGGAUACAACAACUUCAGUGGACAUAUACCUGCUGAUCUUGGGAGCAAUAUCUCACUAGCAAUCCUGUAGGGUGAUGACCCUCUUUGAAUAGUUCAAUUUCACUUAUUCUUUUAAGAAUUUUUUUGCACAUAUGCUCACUCGGUUUCUUCUAAUUGUAGCUUGUUGGAUAACAAUGAAUUUCUUGUUGGUUUCUCUCCGGAAAUCAAUGAACUGAGGCUGCUUUCUGAGUGCCAAGUGGGUGAAAAUCAGCUAACGAGUGCUGCUAAAAUGCCAGCGUGUAUAGAAAGAGCCACCACAUGGUAUGUUACUAAUUAAUUGAAGUGUGGUCCAUCUCUGGAAUUAUGUACUUGUAUUUUGUAUUCUUAGUCGUGUCCAAUGAAUAUAUAUGCUAUUAUAUAUGAUAGGGUCAUCCUAUUUCUUUUUUCUAAAAAAUCAAGUUCACACAAUUUUCUUUUUAAAGGCAUAUUGGUCAAGGUAAAGGUACUACUCGUGGCCUACUGCAACUUCGAAAAUCAUUUCAUCGUACUCAUGAAGAUCCUCGUAAUCGUGCGGCUAAUCCACCACAAGAGAAGCCUUCACUUCCUUCUCCUCCUUCACCAGUGCCAAAGCUAACUCCCUCUGAGAAAAAUGCUUCUAAUUCUCCUACUCCACAUUCUACACCAGGUUCUGGAGCACUACCUAAAACUGAAAAAAGCACUUCACCAAAGGUUCAUAUUUUGGUUGGAGUUAUAGGUGGUGCAGUGUUUCUUCUUUUUUCAACCAUUGGCUUAUAUAUUUGUAAAACAAAGGUGGUUAAUGUCAGACCUUGGGCCACGGGACUAAGUGGACAGCUGGAGAAGGCAUUUGUAACUGGUAAAUUUAAGCAGCCACAAUUUUUAUCAUGAUAAAGCUUAGAUACAUUUUUUAAGUGUUUUAAUGUUCUUCUCAAAUCAAAUUUGAAGUUUUACUUGAUAUUACAUGAUCUCAAGUGAAUUUGACUUCAAAUCUAAAAACAGAAUAUCACAAAUGUCCCUGAGGAAUUGCCUUUAAAUUUUGCCUGUCAUGCUAGGACCUACAUUAUUAGGUACAAGAUCUACUGCUUAUAAUAAAAAAAUUGUUUUUCUGUUUCCAAGAAGGAUCAUGUCUUUUUAAUAAAAAAAUAGAAGGUCUAAAUCCCAUAAUGUAUAGCAACUCAGAAUUCCUGAAACAGGACAAAGAUCAGGAACUUAACUUAUUUUCAGGGUUCUUCGGUCAUCUAAUUGAUCUUGCUUUGAAUGACAGAGUUCUACAUUUUCAGGUGCUCAAAAGCUAAGGAGAUUGAAUCUUGAAGUGGCAUGUGAAGAUUUUAGUAAUGUAAUUGGCACUUCACCUAUUGGCACAGUGUACAAAGGAACUUUGUCCAGUGGCGUUGAAAUCGCUGUAAUUUCUGUUCCGGUGACAUCAUCCAAGAAUUGGUCAAAGACUUUAGAAGUUCAAUUUAGAAACAAGGUAUCAAUUAUCAUAAGAUAAGAAGACCAAACAAACUUAACACUAGAAUUGCAAUCUAAGCAUUGUAUUUAUAACUAACUUUUUAACCGUUAUGGUUUCAGAUAGAUACAUUAUCGAAAGUGAACCACAAGAAUUUUGUAAAUCUUAUUGGAUACUGUGAAGAGGAGGAGCCUUUCACCAGAAUGUUGGUUUUUGAAUAUGCCCCAAAUGGAACACUAUUUGAGCAUUUACACAGUAAGUGUUUUACUAUUUUUAGAGUAAUUAGCGCACCAAGUAUAGCAACAUGCAUUCUUUAACAUGUUCUAAAUUAUUGGUUAAAUUUGUUGAAAACCAUAACACUAGUUAUUGUGGUAUUUGAGUUGGUAAAUUUGCUCUUGUGAAUGCCAGUAAAAGAGGCUGAGCACUUGGAUUGGGUAACAAGGCUUAGAGUUGCAACGGGUAUGGCUUAUUGCUUGCAGCAUAUGCACCAAUUGGAUCCUCCUAUGGCCCUUAUCAAGCUGAAUUCUCAAACUGUUUAUUUGACUGAUGAUUAUGCUGCCAAACUCUCAGAUUUUAGUUUCUCCUAUGAAAUAACCUCAGCUGAGACAAAAGCCAUUGACAUGCCAAAAGCAAGUCUAGAAACUAACGUUUAUAGCUUUGGUGCUUUGUUAUUUGAGAUCGUUACUGGUCGUCUCCCUUAUUCAGUGGAACAAAGGGACUCCCUUGAAAACUGGGCAUCACACUAUAUACAAGGAGACCAACCCCUCAAGGAUAUGGUGGAUCCAAUUCUUGAAUCUUACCAAGAGGGUCAGCUUGAACAAGUUGCUGCAUUGAUUAAAUCUUGUGUGCAUCCAGAUCCAAAGCAGAGACCAAUAAUGAAAGAUGUCAGUGAGAAGCUAAGAGAGAUAACAAAGAUAACACCUGAAUCAGCAGUUCCAAAACUUUCUCCACUUUGGUGGGCAGAGCUUGAGAUUGCUUCUACAGAAGUGCGUUGAAACCAGUGAAGCAGAUUGUAGUUAAGUUCCAGAGGCUUUUAACUUUGUGAUCCUUUUUCCAUAAAAAGUUGUUAAAAAGCAUCUAUUUUUAUGUUGCAGAACAUGGUCUCAAAUGACUUAUGGGAGACCAAAAAUGUGCAGUGAUUUUCUUUCGGUGCAGCUUUUUAUUGUAGUUUAUGGAAUUGCACUGAGAAGCAGUUUUUUGUGUAUCAGUUAACUUCAAUUCAGUUCAUUAGGCGAAUCAAGAUAUUUGCAACUCUUUCAUUCUCUUCAAAUGUGUCAAACUAACUAUCAUUUAAUUUUAAAUAUAAAUUAAACACGGGAAACAUGGUUUCUAGAAUUAGAUUUCGGGAAAAGUAAAUUUUCCUUCAUCUUUAAUUUUCACCUCUGUCUCUCUUCCAUCAUUUCGAUGGUAUUUAAUUUGGAACAUGAUUGGUGGUGAUCGCAGAAAACUUCGUCGUUCCUUGUAUUACAGUAGGUCCCAAGCGAGCAUCAUUACAUAGUGAUUGUAACCUGUACCAAAGAGGCAUCGAAUCAUAUUUUAAUAAGAACUUAACCUCGUAGUUUGUUAACAAUUAGGCAAUUGCCACUUUAAUCUGUUAUAAAUAAUACUUUCAGAAUAAUAACACCAUUCAAUUAUCAUCAAAUUAUGCCAUAAACAAAUGUGGUCUUCCAUAAAUUCAAAUGGAACCUUUGGAUGAAGCAAGACUACAUCUUCAUCUACAAAUAAACUUGUGUUGAUCCAUUCAUCCCGACCAAUUUGCAGGUAACAUUUACACCCAAUAAUUCCAUAGUCUCCAAUGUCAGAUGAUUGGACUCGAGAAACAACUAGGUAGAAAAUAACCCAAGAAAUUGUUGGGAAGUACAAUAGUGAACAAAGAUUGUGUAAAGUGGUUAUGAAACCAAUCUCGAACUUUGCCAUUUGUAGCUGGUAAAUAGUAGCUAAUAUUGUUGUUUUUACUUGAUACAUAGGAAAAAGGUGAUGGAUAGAAAUAAGAAGUAUAAACUGACAUUUGUAUGUUUUCUGGGAAAAUUCCAAGAAAUUUCGUAUUUCAAUUCAUUUUCUCUAUUACAAGUACUGAUUUGAAGAUCUUCCCUUAGUAACUGAAAAAGAAGUUUGUUGCAUGUGUAAUUGAGUCCAUGCUUGAUUCUUCUGUAGCAUUUUCUAAGAAGCAAGAUCCUUCGUAUUGAGAAGAACCCUAUGAAAAAUAGCAGAGCAAGAGUUGUUUUUCCAACGCCUCUCAUGCCCCCAAAUUCCAUUUAUUUGAACUUCUUUUGAAUCAUUUGUCACUAAAGAUUCAAUCUUUGUGUAGUUUACAUCAUAUAUGAAAAGACCUCUAAAUUCAAUCGGAUGUUUUCGAUCUAGCUUUUGCAGAAGAACUUUGAUAAUAUUAUCAAUAAACUCAGAUUCAAUCCUAUACAAUGAAUAUAUAAAAAAGUACAUAUAACAAGUUAGUAAAUAAAUUUAAAUUUUAAUAGAAAGUAAAUCAAUAUUGAAAAGAUAAAGAGUGUAUAUGUAAUUACUAAUAUUGUUCUUACAAGUUUCAAUAUGCUUGACACUGACCAAUUUUAGUUCCAUAGUGUCGAAAACUGAUUAGAAGUCAAAAUGAAAAAAUAAAAAUACGGUAGAAAAAUUUGUCUAUAUCAAAUGUAAAUAUAAUAGGUAUUUUAUAUAAUUCUACUGAAUUAAAAAAAAAAAAAAAAAAAAAAAAAAACUCACAUAAUUUUAGACAUCUGUGGCGAAAAAGACAGUAUAAACUUUUUCAAAGACAAAUAUAAAAAAUAAAUUUAAAAAUAUUUAAUAUGUUUUGGAAAUGUGUUAUUUAGUGUUUUUGUUUUUUUUUUAAAUGCUGAAAGCAUUUUCUAAAAAACGGCUAACAAACUGAACGGAUUCAACCACUAACACUGAAUCUUUGCGACUUGUCCAUGGCAACAACAAUGACAAACUCUGAAGAACCCUCUCUUCCCAACCCUAACAAUAACACUCAAAACUCCACCAACGGCGAUGCGGAACCUCACCACCACCACGAUAUUGAAGAUGAAGAAGAGGAAGAUGACGAAUACGACGAGGAGGACGACGUCGUUCAGCAACCGAAUCGCAGAAUUCCCCAAUCCGCAGCGUCCAAGCUGCGCGAGCAGCGUUUCAAGGUGGAAACCCUAUCGCGGCGGUUGUCGUCGGAGCUGGUUCCGAUCCGAGUGCAUGACGUGGUCAUAAACGGCAACACUAAGACCAAGGAUUGGAUUAUUGAGGCGGAGCUCGGAGGCAUAGAGAACGCCACCAGCAUGCAGGAGCUCGUGCAAUUUUCGAAAAUCGCCAUUUCCAGGCUACAGGACCUCGAAAUCUUCGAUUCCUGCACGGUUCGCCUCGAGGCUGGGCCCCGAGAACUUCCUAACACUGCCAAUGUCAUCGUCGACGUUGUCGAAACCGGUAACAAAGUUUCAGCCAAAUUCAGCGUUUAUAACAAACCCUCGGUACCCUUUCUUCUUAUCAUAUUGAUAUAAUGCAUUGACUUGAACUGGAUGCUUGUAACUUUGAUUGAGGCAUUGCAUUGUACAGAAAUGUGUGUGCAAAUAUACGAGAGCCUAUCAAGGGGAGAAGUGAAGAAAGGAACUCUGGACAUUAGUAUUACUUAGCUAGUCAAACAUAGAUUUAAUUGAAACUAACCUUGACUGUCUAUGGCAGAUUAGAUGGUCAUGCUCUCACGCUUUUUAUGUAUAUACUACUACAUCAUAGUAAUUAGACAAAAACUUACUCUAGGUUCCUAAGUUGUUGUCUCUACUAUUUUUCAUCAGAAUUUCAUAUUCACCUCGGUGUUUUAUAUAAUUCUUCAAUACAAAGCUUUAUUUUGUGGAUUACUGAGAUGAAACUUCAAUUCUGAAGAGAACAAUACCAACAACACCUAGGGAAAUGUUUCUAAGUUUUGUCCGAACAUUGUUUUUCCUGCUAGGUUUGAAGUGUCAACAAGGGCAAGGGGAUCGAUUUUUUAUUUGUGCGAAAAUUUUUGUGUUUUUUGUAGACUAGUUCUUGGACAGCUGAAGGUGCUCUUACGUAUAAGAACUUCUUGGGCUAUGGUGAUCUAUGGGAUGCUUCUUUGGCCUAUGGUGCCAACCAAGCGACUGAGGUGAGCAUCGGGGUGCGUGCCCCUCGAGUUAGAAGGUUUUUAACUCCCUUUGUGGCACGGCUAUCCAUGCUUUCCCAAGAUUGGCAAGAGACUUCCUCGUACAAAGAUCAGUUAGUGGGUGCGUCUCUUGGGUUGAUCUCGACCAAGCACCAUGACCUAGCAUACACUCUUGGAUGGCGUACCUUGGCAGAUCCAUCACAGAUGUCAUCCAGGUCUAUAAGAAGGCAGCUUGGUCAUGGUUUAGUGUCUUCUUUGAAGUAUACAUUUAAAAUUGAUAGGAGAAAUUCUCCUAUCAGGCCAACAGAAGGAUAUGCUUUUCUUUCGUCCACACAUGUUGGUGGCCUCACUCCAGAUCCCAGGAGCUUGCGGUUUCUGCGCCAGGUGUGACUAAAUCCUUUUAUUUUCCUUCAAUUAAUAUUAAUUUGAUACUCUGUAAAUUUGAGUACAAUGCUUAAUACAUAUCAUCACUCAUGUUCAAUUCUGAUAAAAAAAAAAAACAUGCAUGUUCUAUGAUUUUGGUGUAAGAAUCAUUGGAAUAAUCUUGGGAGUGGCUAGAAUUUACGAAUUGAUGGAUCAGAAAUUUUAAAAUGAUUUGAUAGAAUGAAUAUGUAGAAAUAUAUGACCAAUUUUUUUUUUUAUAUGGAAGGAGUUCAUCUCCUUUGUCAAAGAUCUCUUUUCUCAUAAGAGAAUCUAGUCUCUGCAUUUGGAAAAACACUAAAAUUGCUUCUUCUUUUCUGUUUUUGAGUUUGUUAAUUUCAAAUCUAUUUAUUUUACAAAAAAGUUAAAUAUUUUUUUCUUAGAAAGUGCACAAACAAGUGGUCCCCCUAUACGUCAUUAGUUACCAUGUUGACAUGAUUCAGUUGGAUUUUUUUGUUUGCGAUGAUAAAGGGGUACUAGCUAGUCGAGGCAAUGCUUUUGUUUUCGUAAUUGCUUUGUCUCUAGAACUUGAUUGGUUGCUUCAAGCGUUAUUAUUCAUUGUUGAGUUCGAUAUCCCUUAGUGGGACUGAAAUCUCAGUGCAAAUGUCCAAGGAAGGACUUCACAAGUAAGACGUUCAAGGAACUCUGCCAUUUGCAACCUAUCCUGCAUGAAUUAGAUGCAAAGUGCUCUCUAAUAUGUUAACGUUUGUCAUCAGUUCUAGAUGCUUUGUGUUUCUUGGAUGAUGCUAACAAGUGCAACUUUUAUCUGAUUUUUUUUUUUUUUUGUGUACGAAGCUAAAUCUUACUGGGUAAAUCUUACUGUUUUUAUCAUUAAUUGAGACCCUGAAUAAAAUAAUACAAAAUAGAAACAAGAAAUACAGGAAUGAAUAAUCAAACUACCCCAAAAUAGUUUGCUGUGUUAUUGGACUUCAUUUGACUAGCAUUAUUGCGCUGUUUCUUCUUUCUUUCCACUUGUUUAUCUAGGAGUUGUUAGUUCAUGGUAAAUUGAGUUUUUAACUUAUAUUUCUUUUUCUUUACUUUUACGUAUCUAGGAGUUGCCAUUGUGUAUGGCAAAGGAAUCAGAUACUACAUGGUAGAUGCGUGGCCUGCUCAUUCUUUUUCUUGGUAAAUUGUGUAGGGUACUUUUGGUUGUAGUAAUUCUUGAGGUUGGGGCAGCCUUUAAGGCAUGGACUAUAUGGUUACAGUAACACAACAUUUGUUGAAGAAAACAUAGUAUACAUGUUCAUUUUCGUCCUGAAAUUAUAAAGGGAUGUUAGAAUAGUCUAUGGGUUUAACGCUGGGAAUUAAGUCCCUGAAAUUGAAUUGCGUUUGUCCCUGUUGUUAGUCGUCCACCGAUUCCUUUGCCCAAUUUUUUAAUUGGUACUUUAUCUUCCGUUUUGACAGCCCUGAUAUUUUACAAUAACACCUGACAAUGUAAGGAAGUAGCCAUUACUACAAAUAGCUGGGCAUCCAUGUUUUUACCAAAAGGGCAGAUAGCACGUCACAUCAAACGUUGGUUAAUAAAGUUAGUGAAUGACUAUUUACAAGGACUAACUUGACCAACAGAAUUCAAUUUCUGAGACUUAUUUGCGAGAAAGUUACAUGCAGAGAUUAGUAUGAUAGUGCUUUACAAUUUUGGGGACAAAAGUGACGACAUUUAUUUUCUGUGCUAUGUCAGGUUGAAAACUCUUUUUGUUGAGCAACUUUAUUAACUCUAAUAUUCUAAUGCAGGAGUUUGAUGUUCGAUUUGCUGUCCCUUUUGGGUUUUACAAUACAGCACUAAACCUUGGGAUAUCUGCUGGUGCUGUUUUUCCAUGGGGACAUGGAUUCAAAACCAAGCCAUCUCCCCUUCCAGAAAGGUUUUAUUUGGGUGGUGAUUUUUCUCCAGUUUGCACCCUAGGAGGGCCAACACCCUUAUGGGGAUUUAGAACUAGAGGAUUAGGUCCUACUGAACCUCGUAGGCUAAAUAGAGAUGAAUCCGAUGAUGACAACGUUGAUUCCUCUGGAUGGGACUUCAUUGGCGGAGAUCUUGCUGUUACUGCUUUUGCUGAUCUCUCGUUUGAUCUUCCAAUUAGGUGGUUGAGAGAAUAUGGAAUACAUGGUCAUGUUUUUGCUGGUUCUGGGAAUGCUGCUAAAUUAACUCAGAAUGAAUUUAAGCACUUCUCUCCUCGGAAGUUCUUGGAAUCUUUUCGAGUGUCAGUGGGAUGUGGAUUUGUUAUUCCUACUAGCCUCUUCCGCCUAGAGGUCAGCAUCUAUUUUAAUUCUUUAUUUUUAAUUAAAAAGAUCAAACUAACCAGAAGUUGAGAGUUUGGCGGAGUUUGUAGUGAAAUGUCAGUGACGACAAAAUAGAAGAUUUGGGGUAAACAUGUUAUAUUUCGACAAUAAAGAGUGUGAAGAAAAGAAAAGAGAAAUAUAGAAUUUUUUUAAUGUUGUAGUCUUGUUACUGGUAUAAACGAUUUCCCCCUUUCUCCCACAUUUAAUUUUGAACUAACCACUUAGGAAAUGUCUGUAUGUAUCUAUUAGCAAUAUGGUAUGACUUGACAUUUGAAUUCAGCCAGGUAAUUUAGGUGAACAAUCUCUCUGUUCAAUUAAUAAGUUAGCAUUGUUAGGAUUAUCUCUUUUUUGUGGUACCCGUCUCCUACACUCCACCUUACCUUUUUUUUUUUUUUUUAAUUUGCAAUAUAUGUAUUUCAUCACCAACUUGUAACUUGUUUCAGGGUAACUACGUUUACAUACUCAGAAAGGGUGAGCAAGAUCGUGGGAAGACUGGAUUUAGGUUUAGUUUGUCAGCUCCUUUAUAGCAGCCGUAUUCUCUGCUGCCAUUUUUAAUUCUAUUUUGAUGUAGUUCUCCAAUCAUUAAAUAAUUUUUUGCUAUCUAACUCAGCAAGGUAUUUUCAUUUUCUUACCUUAAGUCUAGCAAAUAAGAGGGCAUCCAGUCAUAGCAUAUUUUCUUCCCGAAAAUAACGCACUCUAUACUGCAAUUUUAGAUGCAUUGCCACUGAGAGUUCUUAACCUUUUCCGGCUUGCUUGUAUUGUAAAGUGUAUACCACUCUUUUAUUGGUUCAGAUUUCAUCCGUGUGGAGAUUUUUUUAGUCAUAUUUUGUAAUUUCUAUGUUUGUGUAAUAAUAUAGAAAUUUAUGUUAGGUAGGCUGCUGUUACAAAUUUAUGUUAAUGCUGCUCCACACAUUAUCUCUUUUAGACUAAAUAAAUUUUUAAAUGAGUUACUUUGAGAUAAAUAAUAUAGUCUCGGAUGUUUCAUAAAUAUAUUAUUACUAACAUCAAUUUAUAAUUAUUUUGCGAUAAAUGUUAUGUACUUGAUAAUUUUUUAUUAUAUUUCUAAUAUGUUAUUUAGUUACAACAAGACUUAAUAUUAUAAAAGUAUCCAACUAAAACCUAAGGCUAUAAAAGGUUCGAUGAUGAACUUCCAUUAUGUUUUCAUUAAUGUUUUAUAUGAUGACUCUUUUCAAGUGAUCGAAAAUUUUCUUCAUUUGACUUAAAGGUGACUGACUAAUCUGGUAAAAGCAUAGAAAUGAUCAUUUAGAUUUAUAAUAAAAUCAUUUAAGUUUUGAAAUAAAUUUAGUUUUGAAUUGAAAUGGAUAUAUUAACAAGAUCAAAUAAACAAAUAAAAAAAAGUAAUAAUAUACUUAAAGUAUGCCAAGAAAUUCUAAUUAUUUAAGAAAGAUAAGAGAUUGAGUAGAUAUGUAAUGAAUAUAGCCGGUGAAGAUGGGGAAGACCUUGAAUUUAAUAAUUCAUAGGAGGCAAUUUUAUCAAUGAAUUAGUCCAUGAUGAGCUGGUAUCUGUUUGUAUAUAAAUAUCAAAAGUUUCCUCAAUAAAAUUAAUUGAAUCAAUAUAUAUAUAUAUAUAUAUAUAUAUAUAUAUAUAUUCGUUUAUGGUUUGGAAGUAGCUUGCUAUUUGUUUUUUAUUUUUUUUCGUGCAUAAUAAAAAAUUCCAUUUCAUUAGAAGUACUUGAUAAAAUUAGUAAUUAAAUUUGAAAAAAAAAAUUGUUGGAUGGCAUAAAAAGGAUAUGAAGUUUUAAUUUAUAUGAAUUAUGCUUUUAUGAUAAAAUAGAUUUUGUGGUAACUACAACAUUAUUUAGUUUUUGCAUAUUUGUAAUUCUUGCCAAAUUCUUUUGUAAAGAAAAAAUAUCUUAUUAAAAUUAAAAAUAAUAUAGAUGUAGAAGACCUUAAAGAUGUUGACAUCAUUAAAAUUUGAAAAAAAAAUAUAAUAUUGGAGAAUCAAAAUUACAAUUAAAUAAUAUAUUUACCAAGAUAUUACAAUUAAAUGAUUUUCAUGAUCCAUUGUUAGCUUAUGUUACAGGCACUGUUCAUUUGACUUACUAGUUUCUUUAGUUAUUGGGCUUAGGCCCGUUAGAAAAGAAAAAACUUCUAUUAAGAAAGUGAAAGUUCUCUCGUUAUCUUUUAAUUUAAACCAAAAUAAUUUGGGCGUUAAUGCCUUCACCUCCCCAAACCCAUCCUCCAACCCACUCCCUUCUUUUUUACUUUUUUAACCCUCCUAAUAAAACCCUAAUUUUAGUUUACUUUCUUCACUUUUACUUUCUUCAUCUUUCACUUUCACGUACCCGAAGAGCCCCACCUCCGCUUCCCUUUGCAUUCUCAACUCCACCCCACCUCCCCUUCCCUUUGCAUUCUCAACUCCACCCCACCUCCCCUUCCCUUUGCAUUCUCAACCCCACCCCACCUCCCCUUCCCUUUGUAUUCUUAACCCCACGCUCCACCUUCUCUGAAAAUUUUCAACUUUUGCAGUCAAUUCUUCCUCUGCGGCGGUGCGACGCGGUGGUGCGGCACUGUUGUUUUGUUUCAUUUAUGUCGUCUACGAGAUUAGUUUUCGUUGCGUGUUAAUUUCUUGCUUUGUAAAUGUAUGUGAUUUAGUGUUUAAGAUUGCAUUGAUUUAUGCUCUGGUUGUGCACCAUUGUUAGUUUUGUUUGGUUUCAUUUUGGUGGUAGAGGUGUCUACGUAGGAGGAAGAAGACAGAACUUAACGGAUGUCGACAUCCGUUUAGGGCCAAUUUUUAUUUUUAUGUUUUUAGUUUAUUUUAUAAGUAAUUAAUUUUUAACUUUUUAUUUUCUUACGUAAUUAUUUUGUUUUAAUUUUUUUGUUUUAUUAGUUUAUUGUAUUUUUAAUUAAUUUAUACAGUAUUUAAAUUUAGUAUUAUUUUAUAAUAUGUUAUUUAAUUAUAUUAAAAUUAUUUUAGUUAAUAAAAUAAUUAUUAUUAAAAUCAUUUUAGUUAAUAAAAUAAUUAUUAUUAAAUUAUUGAAAAAAUAUAAGAAAUAAUUAUUAAUUUAAUUAAAUUUUUUUUUUCAGAAAUGGUAAGAACACGAGGUGCAUCUUUUAGUUCUCGUGGGGAGAGUUCUCGAGGGGAGAGUUCUCGAGGGGAGAGUUCUCUAGGGGAGAGUUCUCGAGGGGAGAGUUCUCGAGGAGAGAGUUCUCGAGGAGAGAGUUCUCGAGAACAAAGUUCUCGAGGAGAGAGUUCUGCACAAGGUUUAGCUAGGAGACGACCUACAAGUAAACUAGAACCAACUUGAGAAUCCACAUGAAGAUAUUCAUCCAUUUUAAAUAAUAAUCACCUAUAAAACUAUAAUGAUUCUUAUUAACAUAAUUAAUAAUUAAUCAAACAAAUAUAAAAAUAUUAAUAUAACUAAAUUAUAUAUUUCAUAUAAUUAAAGUAAUAAGUAAUUUUUUAUAUAAUUAUAAAAUUCUUAAACAAUUAAAAUAGAAAUAAAAAAUAUAUAUUAUUAAAAACAUUAAAUAUAAAAAAUAUUUAUAAUAUAAAUAUAAUAUAAUAAAUGGAAUAAUAAAUAAAAAAAGAAAAUAGCUUAUACCUUAUAUUUUUGAUAGAUUCAUUAAAAAUAUAAUAUAUAUAUAUAUAUAUAUAUUAUACGUAACGUAAACGUAAUAUAUAAUAUAAAUAUAAUUUAUAUAUUAUAUAUAAUGUAAACAUAAUAUAUAAUAUGAAUAUAAUAUAUAUUAUACAUAAAUGGAUGUCGACAUCCGUUUCUCCUAAACAGAUGUUGACAUCCGACGACGGAUAAUCAGAUCCGUUUAGACUAUUUUUAAACUGUGAAUUACGUAUCUCUCCAGCGCUUACGUAUCUCUUCCUACUGGUACACCUUCAACCAAGACGCUGCAAACACGAUCACGAAGAAGAGAUGAAGAAUUCUUUACAAUCGCAACUUUCCUUUCACCACGUCAAAGAAGAUUUUCAGAGUGAAAGAAAAGAGAGCACAACAAGAAUUUGAAAAACUGAAACAGAAACUACAUAGAGCAGAACGUGAGAAAAGAAAAUAGGCUUUUUCCUAUAGGAGAUUAAAAUUAAAAUUAUUUUAUAAAUUAAAUUUUACAUAAGGGUAUAAUAGGAAUAUAAAUAAAAAAUAAAAAUAUAAAUUAAAAAAACAAGGGAUAAAAAUGGGAUGGGGAGGUAGAGAUCCAAGAAGGUGGAGGUGCAGGGAUCAACGCCCAAAUAGUUUUGUUGAUGUUUGAAAUAUUUACUAUAUGGUAUAAUUAAUACUUUCAAACAAUAUUCCAUUCCCACCCAAGGAAUAAAGUAAUAAUGUUUUUAAAAUUGAAAUGGAAAAUGCAGCAAUAAUACAUAGUAGCGAUUCAAGAUUAAAUAGUUAAAUUGCUAAUAAUUUAAUACAGCUUUUAUUCUUAAUAUUCCACAUCAAACAGUAGUAAGAAAAAAAUAAUACAAUGUUUGUAACUUCAGGAUGUCAAAAUUAAACUUCAAUUACAAAUAUUUUCACUUCUAAAUAUAAAAUUCAAAACAAAACCAAAUCAAACACAUCAUACCAUUUAAGUGUAAUAUAACAUAUAAUACCCAUUGAAUUUUAAUAUAAUUACAUAGUUAAGAGGAUACCUUAACUCAAACACAUUAGUUUGAAUACAAUAACCUCUACCGUCUAAAUUUUAAUAUCGUGUCACAUUCUGUAUAAUAAAAAAUGAAUCCAAAGUCUUCAACACCAACAUAGUUAAUAAGUGAUACUCAUUUACAAAAUUUCAUAGGAAAAAUUUCUUUUAAUAAUAAUUCUUUUAAUAAUUUUUUGACAACGUAUAUGUAAUAAUUUGUAACUAAUCUGUUUUAAAUAUUUUUUUUAAACAUAAAUUCAAACAGACCAAUAAAAUAAUGAUAAGUGUCCGGUUGUCAAAAUAUCAAAAUCUAAUUUCUUAAUAUUUUCAACAGUAAUAAUUAAAUAAUGCACAACUUACAUUAUUAGUUUAAUUUAAUACAAACUUCAUUUAGAAUUAUUAAAAACCAAGUGAAAACAAAUAACUAGUCACACAUUAAAAGAAUUUAUUAUUAUGAGCCACUUAGAGAAAAGAAAUGAUUACUCAAUAACAAUAUCUUCUUUAAGUUUUUUCUUAGUUUUUAAUAGAUAGAGAUAAUAUAUUCUUCUGACAGGAUUAUUUCUUAAUCAGCAGUCAUUUGUGCAAAGUUCCAAAGCAUUGAAACAAAAAAUUGUAAACAAGAAAUGAUGAGCUAUUUUUGAAGUAUACGAAUUUCAUUCACAAAAUAUACAAGUGUGAAGUGAUGUGAAUAUCAUGAUCAAACAGAAUGAUGAGGCUGAGAGCAGCACCUGUUGAGGAGUCUGAGCAGUGCAUCUGCUUUUCUUCUAGCUCUCAAAGAUCCAUCAGAAGCCAAGCUUUGAAGAGAAGGAAUGCUUCUUGGAUUUGCCAAGAGUCUUCUUGCAACCACUUCUCCCUCUUCUUUGCACAGUCCCAGCAAAAGGGUUAUUGAAUUUUCCUUCCCUUUCACUGAACCAAAUCUCAGAAGAUCAAUAAGAAGUGGCACCAACGCUCUACUAUUUCUUAUCUCUUCCAAUCCCUCAGAGCAACCAAGGAGUGAAGCAAGCACUGCAAGUGCAUCAUCUGUUAUGCCAGCCUUGUCAUCCAUCAGCAAUUCUACCAGCACAGCAACUGCACCAGCCUUAACAGCACUAACUUUGUUAGGAUUGUAAACUGCAAGAUUGAACAGUGCAGAUGCAGCAUCUUUUUUCCCUAUUGAAGUGCCUUCUUUCAAGAGUCUAACUAAAGCAGGUAUUGCUCUUGGUCUUCCUCCAAUAUGCACUUUCAGCUCAUCCACCAUAGACAAGCUGUAUAUUGCUGCUGCUGCAUUCUCCCUUGCCUCCAUGGUCUUCCCUGAUUCAAGUACUUCUACUAUGCUAUCAACUGCUCCUGCUGCCAUGAUCAAAAUCUUGUUGUUGUCAAAUAUGGAGAGGUUGAACAAGGUUGUCACUGCAUGCUCUUGAAUUCUUGAAUCUUGAGAUCCUAGAAGUGUUACAAGAAAGGGAAUGGCCCCUACUUCAGCUAUGACACUCCGGUUGACCAUGCCGGUUUUUGCAAGUAACCGAAGUUCAUAUGCAGCUUGCCUUUGGAUGUCAGCAGAACCAGUUGCCAAUUUUCCAACAAGAAAUUCUGCUGUCAUUUUGACAGCAUCUGCAGCAGCUUUGUUUGCAGAAAUAUGGUCGAUGGCCUCCUCCUUCGAGUUCUUCUUCUUGUGGUUGUUUCCCUCGGUUGAAGGUUCAUUAACUGGGACAUUGUUGUCAUGGCACCAUUGCUGAACAAGGCUCUUCAAUGCAUAGUUGGGUAUUAAAGCAGUGUGAAUUAACCUUUGCCCACUUUUGGGGCAUGUAUGAUGACCAGAGUUUAUCCAUUGUGCAAUUGAUGUUCUAUCAUAUGUGUGCCCAGAUGACACAAUCACGGGGUCCCUCAUUAAGUCAAGUGUUAUUGGACAACGAAAUUCAUCAGGAACAUUAGGUGUCAUGGACUGAGAAGAUGAAGAACUAUCAUGAACUUUGUUAUACAAAAAUGAAGACAGUGGCUUAUAAUCUUCUUCAUUUCUACUACUCUCUCCAUCUCUGAAUAUCAUGGUUUUGGAAUAAGACACCAACGAUAUGAGGUUGUUUAUAUUGGAGACAAUGAUGAGUCCUCCUGUGCCAGCUUGGUUCUGAGCUUCAGCCUCUAACUUUGAUAUUUCUCCAUCAUAAUCUGACGGGGUUCUCAGACCAAUGCUGCUGAGUAUUUCUUCCACUUUUCCAAAGUCAACAAACCCUUUGUUCUUCUUCUUUUGUAAACUGUUGUUGGCCAUUGCUAGUUUAAGUUGUUCUCUUCGAUGAAGCUCUCUAGGAUCAACGAAUAACUCAGCCUUCUUUGCUUGCUUGUGAAGAAGCUCCACCUGUUCCCUAAUAUCUGAUGUUACAUUGAGCAAACUCAAAGGAAGAAUAUCAAGGGCCCUUCCCAUCUCCUUCACCAGCACAUAAAAUUGGUUAGAAAUGAACUCUAACUGUAUCAGACUCCAAAGAGAGCUUCCAUCUUUGCAGUCUUGGAUCAAAACCUUAACUCUUCUUAUCACAGAGAACAGUUCUGUGAGACACAGGAUUGAAGAAGGAGGAAGUGGAGUACCCGAUUCUUUAAUCUCUUCAAACAAAGAAGAAAGAAGCUUGAUCCUUCUGAUCAUGGAUGAAACGUUUCUUAUGUGUACGAAGGGAAACUUUUCCAUUGAAUCAACUUCUUUGGAUAUAUGAAUCAAAGAAUCUAGCAGAGACCCAGAUGGUAACAAGCCUUGGGAGACCAUCAUAGCAGAUAGAACAUCAUUCAUUGUGACGAGGAUGUUUUCUUCAUUCUCAUGUUUCACACAAAAUUGGAUUAUUCUGAGUCUGAGACCUUCUUUAAGGCACUUUUUUUACAUUAAAAUAAUUGUAAAAGAAGUUAGCUGUUUGAUUAUUAAAUGCAUCGAAUUUUUGGCUCUUUCUAUUUGUGUAGUUUGUGCUAAAGACAAGAACAAAAGUACUAAAGAGAGUUGAGCAUUAUUACUUGGGGUGCUGCCAUUUGGAGGAUUCUCCAUGCGUGUAAGAUUAGUGGUAUUUCUCAGACAGUUUUUUAUUCAAAGAUGAAUACUUUGAGCCUUUUUUCUAUUCAAACGUGAAUAGUUUAUGAUAAUGAGCCCUGUUAAACAGCUUUCAGUUGCUUGGUUUCUCCACCUUUGAAAAUCUUAUUCACGAUCACCAAAUGAAUAUUUUUCAUGCAACUUGUUAUUUGAUAAAUGUGCAUAUAUGCCAACAGAUGCAUAACAUUUCAUUUUCUUGAUCUGUCGUUUGAGGAAAGUAAAGCAUUAUACGUAGAUCACGACUCCUGAAAUCCUCAACGGCUCUUUCUAAAUCAUCGUGCCAUCCACUUACCAUUUCUGAUGUCAUGUUUGUCUUCUCUACCAUAGAAUCCAAAAUUCCACCCUCUCUAAUGUUCUUGCUUUUGCAUCAUGUAUCAAAUGUCAAAGGGCAAAAACAGGUAAUAAUUUGUUUAUUACAAGUAUUUGUUUCUCAUGAAAACACCAUUGCUAAAUGGUUAUAAAUUUUUAUAAAUGUUGUGAAUAUUAAGAUGAUUAAGUGCCACAUUUAGUAAAGGUUAAUAACUGUUGUGGAUAGUUUUACUUUCUUUAAUAAAGGUUAAUAAAUGUUGUGGAUAGUUUUACAAUUUUCAGUAGUAAAGGUUAAUAAUUAUAAAUAUAUUUAUUAUUUAUUUGGAUUUAAAUUAUAUAAAUAAAGUACAAAUUUCAUCUUAUAAAUUGGUUUUAUAUAUUAAACUAAGUUUAUUAAUAUAAACGUAUUGUUUGUGGAUAAUUUUAUCUAUAAAUUUUAGUUUAUAAAUUAAUUUUAUGAUAUUAAGUUGGCCAUUUCAAUUUUCAGCUUUUUGCAGGGGUUUUUGAUCUUGGUUUUGCAAAGAACUGAGGUCAAAAGUCUUGUAUGAAGAUUUUUAUCAGAUAGUUGACUAGAUUGUCAGUGUCUUGUAGAGUUUUUGGUUUCGGUUCUAUAGACAUCCGAGGUCAUAUGUUAUAUAUUGCUUCGAUUUUUAAACAAUCGUGACAUAUACUGUCGCAAAAAUUUGAAAAAUGUCACUAUACCAUUUUAUGUUUCGGACAAAAUUGAGGGCAAAAGUCUUGUAUGAAGAUUUUCAUCAGACAGUUGACUAGAUUGUCAGUGUCUUAUAGAGUUUUUGGUUUCAGUUCUAUACACAUCCGAGGUCAUAUGUUAUAUACUGCUUCGGUUCUUAAACAAUCGUGACAUAUAUUGUUGCAAAAAUUUUAAAAAAUGUCACUGUACCAUUUUAUGUUUCGGUUUCUGCUGAACCGAGACAUAAUAAGCAUAGUAAUAUUUUUUUUUUUGCUAAUGAUAAAUAUAUUUUAUGAGAUAAGAUAUUAAAUUAGUUUUGACUUUUUUUUUGUAUAAUUAAGUUAAGUAUAAUUAUUAAGACAUUAUUUAUCUUAUUUUUUGUUAAUUUUUUUUCAUUUUUUAGGAUGUUGUAAAGGUAAUAAAAUCAAUGUAAAAUCAAUGUAAAGGCAAACAUAAAAGACCCAUAUGGGUGAUAAAAUCAAUGAAUGAGAUUAGAAUAAAGUGGAAUUUUGAAGCAGGAAAAGUUGUGGAUGACUCUAGGAAAAAAAAAAAUUAUGUUUGUGGCCGGUUCCUGGGCUAUGUAGGUCAAACUUUAUGACAACAAUUUGUAUAAUGAUUUUAUGAUUACAUGUCACAAACAUGUGAACCUAAUGUAAUUUUCUAUAUAGCUAUGUGGGUAGGAUAAAGAUAUUUUAUCCAACUGAGACCACUUGUCAUUUUUUUUAAGUUUCUUUGUCUGCAUGACCGGGACAACAAUUUUAACUUACAAGUUUCAAUGUAGGACUGUUUAAAUAUCAACUCAUUAAAAAAAGUAACAAUUCGAAAUUAAUCUAAAAAAUUGAAAGCGUGAUCAAAGCAAUUAUUUUUUAUCUAUUUUUAAUUUUAAUAUAAAUUUUUUGCUUGGAUUUUGGAUGGAAAAUUAAAAAUUAAAUUGAACUUCUUAUUAUAUUUAAAUAUAAUAUUAUGUUUUGAAAGAUUUUAUUAAUCUCUCAAAUUUUCCUCAAAGACUUUAUAUCAAGAAAUCAAAACAAAUAAUAAUUAUUAAAGAAAGUCCAAGAAUUCAAUAUUUUCAAAGUUAAGAAUAUAUUUAAUGAUUUUCAUUAAUUUUUUUCUUUUUUUGUCUAUUACUUCACCACACCCUUACACCAAAUAAAAACACACUUUCAUUGCGUAUUCAUAAAAAAUAAAAAAUAAAAUGGUUUCCACAAGGUGUCAUUAGAAGUAAAAACAAAAUAAUAGCAUAUAAUGAACUUAGAAAAUAUGAUGUGGGAAUGAAGUGCGUCUUAUGAAUUUUGGGUCACUCUAGUUUCAGCCCAGAACAAAUAUUAAAUAUCACUUACCUUUAUUCCAAGACCUAUUAUAAAACACACAUUAUUAAAACUAAAGGUUUAAUUGUUUCUUUUGUCCUCAGUUUGGUUGAAGUGUGUCAAAUUCGUCUCUCUUUUAGAAAAAUGUCAAUUUCGUCCUCAUAUAGAAAAAAUUUGUGUCAAUUAAGUCAUCUUCGUUAAAAAUCAUUGCUUUCAAAGUUCACUUUAUCCACUGCAAAAUUAGGGAUCGGACCCAUGAAGUGGUUAUUAUUCAAAACUCACUUUAAGUUUUUAACACCAUUAGUUUGUUUUUAACGGAGAUGACUUGAUUGAUACAAAUUUUUUUUAUAUGAGGACGAAAUUGACAUUUUUCUAAAAAGAAGACGAAUUUGACACACUUCAACAAAAAAAGCAAUUAAACCGAAAAAGAAUUAGUUAAAAAUUAGCCAUCUUAAAUAUUAUAUAGUAAGAAAAAUAUAAUUGGAGUUAAAAUUAUUUAAAAAUAACUAUUUUGACUUAGUAGACUCAGGUCGUGUUUGGACAUGUGAAACUUUUUAUGUGGAAAAUUCCUUUUUCAAAGAAUAAAAAAAGUGAGAAAAUGCAUUGCAUAUAUCAACAACUAAAUUCCAAACACGCAUUCAUAGUUCUAUUUUUUCGACAAUAAAUUUAUGCAAAGAAUAUAGAGAAAAAGAAAAGAGAGAAUGAAAGCAUCUAUCUCAGUCACUUGUAUUUAUAUGAAAUUAUGUUUUAUAUAAUUUGCAUAGAUUCUGUGUAGACGCUUAAUUAUUUUUAAAAUGCAUAGGAAAAAUGUAAUUGGGUUUAUUUUCAACAAUAUUUAUUAUUACUUUCAAUUAAAAUAUUUUACAAACUUAGUUGGCUUUAAUGAAAUGCUAUGUAUUUCUUAUUUUAAAAAUCUCGUUUCGCAUAAUAGAUUAAGCCAGUGAAAUUUAUUUUAAAAGUUAUAUUAAAGAAGGAAACCAUUAACAUUAAAUACGCAUUUAAAUAAUUCAUAAAGAAAAGGUAAAAGUUAAUUAGUUAAGCUUUUAUUUUCAGUGAUUUAUUUUUAUUUAUUUAUAUUAAUAUUCGAUGAAAGAUACUUUCUAAAAUAUUAUUUUUACUAUAAUUAGUAAAAAUAUUUUAUAUUAGUUAGUUGUCUUAAUUAGCAUAAUAUAUACUUAUGCUGUGUUUAUUUCAAGUGAUUUAUUGUUGAUGAAAAGCAAUUGAAAUAUGCUUUUUGCAAGUUAAGUUUAUCUGAGUUCUCUUGUAAAAAUGAAAGAUUUCAAAGGAAAGUGACCUAAGCAAGAACAAAUAUCAUAUACCUUCUGCUAUUGCUUGUUGUAUGUUAGAAUACACUGUGGCAACUCUGCUGUAGUGUGGUGAGGUGCUGAAAGAAAAAGAACUUUGAAUUUGUGUAAAAAUAUGAAAGGAGGAGAAUCUAUUCCUCUCUCACCAAAUCGAUUCUCCUCCCUUUAUAGUGUAUAUUACUUUUUUAAAUAUAUUGCUUUCAUAUGAAAUAAUAAUAAUAAUGUUUAAUUUAAAUUUAUAUCACAUUUAUUUUUAAAAGUAAAAUGGUGGUCAUAUAAUUAUAUCUAUUAAAAUAUUUUUUUAAUCUAUUAUACCCAUCACAUUAUAUACAAAUUUUUAUCUGAAAUUCAUUCAAUUCAGAAUUUCUUUUUUAUGGUGAUUGUAUUUAUUGUGAAUUUAAAAUUUUAUUGUGAUAAACAAUUAACUAUAUUAUUGACUUAAAUGUUGGAAUGUCUUUGUGAGAUACUAUUUGUACGGUUUGGAGUUGAAAUAUCAAGAACUUAAAAAACUUUCCUAUAGAGAAAGAAAAUAACAAUAAAAGAUUUGAAAAAGAAAUUAUGAAUAAGUGUUUUGAUUGAAAUUUCAUACUACACAUCCAAAAUAUUUUUUAAUUAUUUUUUAAGAGAUUUAUUUUCCUUUGAGUUAUUAAAGAGAGUAUAUCCAUUUCCUUUUAUGUAAUAUUUUCUUUAUGAAAGCAAUAGAAAGGUUGAAGACAUGAACAUGUGACUAUUGAAAGCAUAUUUGAUGCAAACUUUAAGGUGAUAUUGUUGAGCCCAUGAUUCCUUGAAUCAAGCCUACUACCUAUGGAACUUCUACUACCCAAAAGCCUAUGCUAAGUGCCCAUUUAAGCAGCCAAAACUAGUAAAAGUAAAAAUGUCAAUACCAACUUUUACAACCAUUUGACUUAGAUUCUCAAUCAUUCCCAUUUUCUUCAUCUUCCUUAAAACUAUUUCACUUUUCAUUAUUCUCAUCAACUUUUCUAACAAAAAACCCUUUUUUUCUCAGAACACACCGCACAGAUAAAUUCUUAUCUUUUCUUAAUUUACUAAUAGACCAUUAAGUUUAACAUGAAGGUAAACUAAUUAAUAUUUUUUUUAAGUUAGAAGAAAAGGUGUACAUUAUUGAAACGUCGGUUUUGUGUUAUUAUAGAUAGAAGAAUUGAUUUGGAAAAUUCAAAAGAAUAUUAUGUUUUGAGUGAAAAAUUGAAAAGAAAGCAGAAUAUCUCCACUAGUGUGUGACAGUCACUUUCGAAAGAUGGAAUAGUUUUUGCAUGUCUUGGAUAUGGUAAGCAGUCAAAGAGUUUAUGAUAUUUGGUUUUACUUUAAUUUUUUUAUUCACUUUAACGUUUUUAUCUCUGAACAAAAAAGCAGCAAACACUGUGUUUAUUAUUUAGUAAGAGAAAAAUUUGGAAUACCUUUAGUAAACUGUAAUUGGUCUGCCUUAGUACCAUUCCCCUACCUCAUCUUUGGCUGAUAUGUUUUUCCUUCACUUAUUCAAUACACCACAAAGAUGCUCCUUCCUCCAAUAAAAAAUAAUUUAAAUCAAAAUUAUAUAUAUAUAUAUAUAUAUAUAUAUAUAUAUAUAUAUAUAUAUAUAUAUAUAUAUAUAUAUAUAUAAAAGUGGGUGGAAACCUCACUUAAUAAAUCAGUUUUAUAAUUUUGAAUUAAAUUUAUCAAAUCUUAAAAACCAUUUUCUAAUAAAUAUUCUAAUCUUAAAAUAUAUUUUUAUUUUAGAAUUUAAACUUUGUAAUAAUUUUAGUUUUAAAAUAUGUUCUAAAUUAUUGAAGAAGGAAUAUAUAUUUAAAUUGUUUUUAAUUUUAAUUUUAAAUUAUAUGAGAUUAUUGUUGUAUCAUAAUAAUAUUAAUAUAUAUUCAUAAAAGAAAUAGAAAAAUAAGUAUAUUGAUACAUUGGAAAAUAAAAAAGUGUUGUAAAGGAAAAUGUUCAAACUUUAAACGCUCUACUUUUGGUGUGUGAUAAAGACAAGUUCUAAAAACUUGUGCCAGUAAAAAAUUAUAUUUAUAACAUUAUUAGUUAAACAUGUGGAUAAUUAAUGAUACAAAAAAUAGCAAACUAAUAUAGAAAUGACAACUCUUUUUAGUGAUUGACUUCCAUCAAAUUAAUAAUAAAAAAAUAAUAAAAAAUAUAAUGUAACAAAACUCUAUUCAUAUAUAGUAAUAGAAAAGUUGAUAUCAUUGGCCUGGUUUAGAUUCAUCAAAUUUGUAAAUAAAAAAUUUAAUAUCAAGAUUGAUUCAUUUGUGCUAUAUUCAAUAAAACUGAAAUUUUAAAUCUAAUUUAUUGAUAAUUUAUAGUUUUUAUUUUUCAAUUUGUCAUUUGAGACAAAAAUGGUAAUUCAAAUGGUGAAUUUUCAAUAAAACAAAAUAAAUAAUAGAGAGCCUGGUUUAAAUAAUGGUAUCCUAGUUUAAUAAAUUGUAAGAGAGAAAAUGGCAGGUUGCCGCUCACAAGCGUUUGACCGAGUCAAGCUAUGGCCAUUCAUUCAUAUACACCUCACGUCUUAUUUAUUUUUGUCGACAAAUCUUCGUUUAAAGUUGAAAAAGUAUUGCGUCUCAAAAAUUUAAUAAUUAGAUUAAAUUUAAUUCAAGUCGUAGUCAUAUUUUAUGUAUAAUUCAUGUAUUUUUAAUUGAAUUCUUAUUUAAAAAAUUAUUGAGUAUUUAAAAUAUUUUUUUAUUUUUGUUAGGUAUUAUUUUAUUUGAUUUUUAUUGUAAGGAUGGUGUAUCUCUUACUUUUAUCACCUAGUAUCAAAUUCGUUAUAUAAUUUUAUUUUCUCUUAUUUUUAUUUGUAUUUUAUGGAUUCUGAUAUUUUAACAAUUGUUUUUAAUAAUUUUUUUAUAAUAUAACAUGUGUUACUAUUUUAUUGAUUUGUUUGAAUUUAUUUUUAAAAAAAUAUUUGAAAUAGACCAAUCACAAACCAUCACGUAUGCAUUGUAAAAAAAAUUGUUAGAAAAUAUUUUUCCAUAUUUUAUUUAACUUAUCCACUAAUGUUCAUUUCCUUUUUAAGAAUGAGCUAUGGCUAUAAUGAAGUGCUCAAAGAAAAUUUAUGAACUUUUAUCAUUUCGUACUCCUUUCAUAGGUAUAGGUAUAGAACAAAUGUGGUAUUGGACACAGGUUUUAGCAGUGGAUUCAACCAUUUUGCAUUAGUAAAGUCUGGUAAACUAAACCAAACAACAAGAAAAAAACCACAGAAAAAACUAAUAAUACUUAUUGCAAAUUAUAGGCUGAUCUAGACAAUAAUUAAUAUAGCAUGCUCAUAGACAUGAGCUAUAAACAUGUUUUCUUUUCAAACUUAAAACGACAUAAAAUAUAAAAUAAAAAUUUAAGAAAAAGAUCAGCAAAAAUAAAAUGAAUUUAAUUGUCGUACGAAAAUCAUGUGAAAUUAUGAACUAUUGUUUUUAACUACAAUCACAUAAUAUUCAAGAUUUAAUGUCUAAAAAUAUAUGAUAUAUAGUAAUUUUAUUAAUUUAAUUUGAUCAUCAACUUAAUAAAAGGUGGACUUAUAUAUAGUGAAUAUAUCGAAAUGAUGUUAAAUUUAAAAGUAAUUAAUGUUGUAUUGAUAAAAUAAGGAAGAUAAAAGUCACCUCAAACUCAAAGUGAGGAAAGGGAUGGAAGAUGAUAAGGCAUCCAUCCUACUCCAAUUUCUAAAGCAUACCCCACUUCUUUAAUGCGCGUCCUUUUCCCUUCAAAUAAUCAACGGACCAUACCAACCUUCCACGCCAACCGUCCGAUCAAGAUCAACCUCUCUAACGUUUUACUUACUACUGUUACACCACCCACUUCCUUCUCCUCACCUUCUUCUCCAAAAUACCUUAUCUCAUAUACCCAUAACGACAAAAUCACCUCAAUUUUUAAAUAAUACGUUUUAAAUCUCUUAUUAGUACUUAGAUUUUCUUCGAUGAAUGAAGAUACUCAUUUAUUAGAAUCGUUAUCAUUCUCCUAGCAUGGACAAAACUUAGAUACACGUCUAUUUUAGUAAUUUCUGUUAUCAUUUUAUGAUUCAACGAAAACAGUGAAAUAUAUAUAUAGAACUAUUUAGAAGAAUAACGUACGACAGGAAUUACGAAAGCAAACUAUUUAAAAACUAAGAGCAGUUCAUUGCAGGAGUGCUUAUUAGCAUAUACAACGCAGUCGGUGCUUCUGAUCGAUCAGAACUGAGAGAGAGAGAGAACAUAAGAUCAUAAUAUAUAAGGGAUUUGAAUGAAAUCAUCGACCAUUUCGUGUCUGGUCAAUGGCGGAGAUUGAGAGGAAGAGUUGUGGCAGAAGUUGUCACUGAAAUCGUUGCAAGAGAAAAAUUCAGGGAAGGGUGGCAAACUAACAUGGGAAUUGAAGGUGUUGUUGGAGGUGGCGAUGGCGGCGGAAGGAGUGGUGGCAGCGGCAGCAUAACGAGCAAGACGAUCCUUAGCAAUGGCAAGGUCAUGUUGAAGCUCGAGCAUCUUCCUCUGGAGAAGAGCUAUGGCACCGAUACAUCCAUAAAUGGGGUCUCUGAGCCUGGCUUCUGCUUCGUAAGCAAGAGAAUUGACGGUGUCCUCUCUCUGCUCCUCGGGAACUUCGAUGAGGAUCUUGCUGACAUUGCUGGCUCCAAAAACCUUGUGCACCUUCGCAAAUUUCUUGCACUCAUCAGAACGAAAGUAAGGUGCAAAUAUACAAUUGGGUAUGCAUCUUCGCUUCAAGAACUUGCAGGCUGCACAAGAGGAACUCGAACGUGGCUCGUAACCCUUCAUGCUCUCUCAAAAUAUUCCUUCAAACUUUGCAGUUAUAAGUGUAUGCUUUUUCUCUAUAUAGUCAUUUUGCAGAAUUCGUAUUUAAGGCAAAGCAUGUUACCAUGCCCAUUGGCUCAGCUAGGUCGCAGGUUAGGGACUUGCAUGGGCCACUCUUGUUCUUUUAAUGCAUUUAUUUUCAUUUCUUCAUCAUUUUAUUUUGUGAUAUUUUCACAAUUUUUUAACCGUGGAUUAUAUAUCACUAUUUUAUUGGUUUAUCUAUUUGAAAUAGAUUUAUUAUUGAAUUUAUUUUUCUGAAAAUAUAUCUUUAAUAAUUUUUUUUGACAAUUUUUUUACAACCGCUUAAAUGUAAUAGUUUGUAAUUGAUUCGUUUAAAACAUACCAACUAAUAAGGAAAAACUUCUUUUGACAACACUUUUUUUAACAAUUUUUGACAACGCAUAUGUGACAGCUUGUGAUUGAUCCAUUUUAAAUAUUUUUUAAACUAAAUUCAAACAGAUCAAUAAAAUAAUGACACGUGUCCCGUUGUCAAAAAAGUUGUCAAAAAGUAUUGUCAAAAUAUCAUUGUCCAACUAAUAAAUAGUGAUACAAAAAAUUGUUAAAAAGAAUUAUUAAAAUAUUAUUAUUAUUUUUUUAAUAUUAUGGCAUCCAUUGAAAUUGGGAGUGCAAAAGUAGGUCCAAAUAAUUGAUUCAUGUGGACAAUGGGUGGUAUGAGUUGGUAGUUUUCAAGUUAGAUAUGAUAGUUGAUGAAUAAAGAUGAGGAUAUUUUGAUUGAUUGAAGAAAAGAAAUAUUCUGAAUAAAAGCAAAAUUAUCCCUUGGCAGUGAGAGGUAUGGUCAUUAGAAAGAAAGCAAUAAGAUCGAAUUGAGUACUUUAAAUGUAGUUGGAAUCUUCAGUACAACAUAGUGGAGCCAAAUUUAAAGCCAGUGAAAUCUUGUUUUUAUGCUUUCUAUAUCAUUACAUAUUUCGUUUUUUCCGUUAUUUUUACUACCUUAUCAACCCACCAACUGUUACAGAUUAAUUAAUUCUUAAUCACGUCAUUAAAAUUCCAAAACAAGAAAUACAGAUUUAUUAACAUGUUUUUACAGUUAAAAUGUUUUUUUAGGAUAAAAAAAAGUUGAAGUGAUUGAUUUGCAAUUUUGCAAGCGUGGGAAAGCUGACUUUAUUGUUAAUGGAUUGAUUUUAUAGAGAAAAUAAUAAGAAGGAAGAAAAGAAGAAUGAAUAGUAAAGGGAAUAAAGAUGUUGGAAGGUUAAACGGAGUCGUAUAACAACUUUCUAUCAUUGCACAUCACUGUGCGGGCGCAACUGUAAAGAUUUGCUAUCUCAUUAUGGAAUCUAAUAUAAUAAUUGCAGAUUGCAUUGUUAGGUGGACUCAUCAUAGCCCCACCUUUGUACCCACUCAGAAUUAUUCAAAUUCUAUUUUCUUAUAGUAAAUAUUAAAUAUCACUUUAGGAUUGCUUUCACUAUAUUCAAUCCUUUUUACAUAUACUUCUUUAUGCUGUAACGAGGACCAGGAUGAGAAAAUAUGAGGUUUGUGUGCUGCUUUUGUUUUCUCAAACUUUUUAUUUGAAGGUUUAAAAUAAUUUAAUAGCGAUUAAAGUGAGUUUAUCUAGAAAUAAACCUCUAUUUAUUCUGAUUAAUUAAUUUACUUUUUUAAUAAUAAUAAAUUUUAAUUUUAACGAUUUAUUAAUAACAAUAUUAUGUAUUAAUUGUGUUUUAAUCUUGUUUAACUAUUAUUGUGAUGAAACGACUGUGAAAUUUUUUUUUACACAUCCAAUUUUUUCGAGUUAUAAUCCUAUUUGAUCAAUCAGUAGACUAUAAACUCUUAAUAACAUACUUCUUUUUAUUGUGUUAUUAAAAUCAAAACAUAUUGACAUUAAUGUGUGAAAAUAAAAAUGAGAUUUUAAAAACAAAUUUUCGUUUUUUAAAUAACCCUAAACUUUUUUUAUUGGAGGUUAACUUUCUUUCUCUUCAGUUUUUUAACUUAAAGUUUUGAGAUAUAAUCUUAUUUGUGUUAUAUAUAAAAAAAUGUAAUUGAAAAAUAAUAGCUUAUCGAAGAAAGUAAAAUUUUGGGUUAAAUAUUUUUUUAGUCUCUAUAUUUUGGGGUGAUUUUGAUUGUAGUCCCUCUUUCAAAUUAAGGUACAAUUUAGUCCUUCAACUCUAGAAAACUCUUAUUUAAGUUCUUUUUACAAAUUUUUUUAACUUUAUUUAUUGUUUCAAACGCGUUUCUCAGUUAACAUUGAAGCAAGAAUGUGUCAAACAGUGUAAACAAUCCAAAUGCUAUAAUGAAACGUACUUGAAACAAUAAAUAAAGUUAAAAAAAUUGAUAAAAAUGACUAAAACCAAGAAUUAUCUAAAGUUCAAGGACUAAAUUAUAUCUUAGUUUGAAAGAGGGAUUAAAACCAAAAUCACCCCAAAAUAUAGGGACUAAAAACAUAUUUAACCCUAAAACUUUUUACUCUACUAGCGGAACCAAUCGCAAUAAUUUAAAUAAGUGAUUUGUUUAACUUAAUACUCAAAUAAUGUAAAUAUUUAACUAUUUUUAUGUUUAAGCAUAUGGUAAAAAAUAAUCGAAAGUAACAUAAUUUGAAAUGUGUAAAAAAAGAUACAAAUAUGAAGAAAAAACUAAAAUUCUUUAUUGGAUAAAAAGAGAUCAUUCAAUCUAAAGUUGAAUAAGAAUCCAAUAAUCUUUUUUUCUGAUUUAAUUUAUCUGAUCUUCUUUGUAGACUAGAGUUAGGCACAUUAGGCUUUUUGAGACAAUUUGUCUUUUGAAUACAUUUUCAAUUAUGAUCUCUUAAUUGAUGUAACACUAACUAUCACUCUAUAAUAGUUCCACGUAGAUAUGAUAAUAAAGUAAACAUGAUAAAUAUUAUCAGAUUCAAAGGCACAUUGUACCAUUAUUUUCUAAAAUAAAAGCAUAAAAAAUGACUAAAAAAUAUUUAAAUAAAUGUUAACACAUCACUUAUGAGGUCAUAUUAUUUUUUCUUAAGUUUUAAUCUAAUUGUGGAUUCUUAUACACAGUCGUAACUUUUUUUUUUUAUUAUUUGCAGUUCACUUUUAUUAAAUUAAUUUCAUUAUUAUAAUUAAAUAUGAAUAAAAUGUUUUAAUAAAUAAUAUUUAACGUAUGCAAAAAAAAAUGUAAUAGCAUCCAAACAAUUAUUUUAUCUCGCCAACAAAUUUUAAUAAUGAACAGUAAAUUUAGUUUUAUAAUAAAAGGAAAUAUAUAACUGUAAAAUGUUUAUUAUAUUUCAAAUUCAUUUUCAUUAUUUUUUUUGUUACUUAUUCUCUAGUUUGACACAAAGUAGCCUUAUUAGAUCAUAGUUUUCAUUAUUAAAUAAUUAAUGUAUCAAUGUUAUAAAAUGUCAAAUAAAUUUGAAAUUUAGAAAUUUAGAAAUUUAUGUUCUCUUUGCCCUUUAUGAUCGAACUCCGUUUAUGACGAUUACAUACGUUUUGUUAAAAUUUGUUAUCUUACUUCAAUUAUUUAUUUUCGUUACAAUAUUUUUGUUUUCCAUUUCUCUUUCAAAAUUUCUACCUUGAUUUUGAUUUUAAUUUUGGUUCAUCUCUUAAAUGCAUGCUCAAAAUUGAAUUCUUCACCAUUAUCCACUUUUUUCUAUUAUUAUGAUGUUAUUCAUGAUAACGUAGGCACGAGUGUCUGUGAAACGUAGUGUAAGAUACUGAUUAUGCAGAGAGGGAGUAAGAGAGAAAGAGGCAAAACGAAAGUGAAUAUGAGAAUUGAGUUGUAUUCUUAUUGGCAGAGGUAUUGCCUUUUAUAGGCUACAAGAAUGUAAGUAAGGAAACUAAUACGGUAUAGUUUUAGGAUUAUAUACAACAUCCCCCCUUAAUCCAAACUACUUAAACUUCUAAUACCCACCAGAUUUCUCAAUUUGUCAAAUCUGUCGUGUCUCAAAGCCUUUGUGAAGAUGUCAGCAAUCUCCUCUUCAGUGGGACAAUACUUCAGUUCUAGCUUGCCUUUGCUAACUCAAUCUCUCAAGUAAUGAAACUUGGUCUCUAUAUGUUUGCUCCUUCCGUGAGAGAUGGGAUUUCUUGAUAAAUUGAUGGUACAGUUGUUAUCCACAAGGAGCUGCACUGGACUCUUGUAAGUAAUUUGCAGUUCAUCUAAAAUAGCCUCUAUCCAAGCACUUUAACAGGCCGUGUCAGCUGCAGCAAUAUACUCAGCUUCACAUGAGGAGAGCGCAACAACGCUUUGCUUCUUUGAGCACCAGGAUGUAGAUGCUCCACCAUAUUUAAACAAAUAGCCAUGCGUGCUCUUUCUCUCAACUUGGUCUCCACACCAAUCAGAGUCACUCCAAGCCUUCAAGUUUUUCUCCAUGUUGUCGGUCUCUUUUGGAAAGAACAAACCAAAGUCUGUUGUUGCCUUCAAGUAUCGCAAAAUGUGCUUGACAGUGGUGAGGUGUGAGUGUUUGGGAUCACUCAUGAACCUAUUCACCAAUCCAACUGCAAAAUUAAUGUCGGGUCUGCUGUUGCAUAUGAACCUGAGUGACCCAACAAUUUGUUUGUACAGAGUUGCAUCUACCUUCUCUUCAUCUUCUGAUUUAGACAACUUUAAAUUUGCCACAAUUGGAAUUGAAGUGCCAUUGCAAGUUAGCAUGUUGAACCUCUUUAAUAUCUCGUUAAUAUAUCUUCUUUGAUGAAUAAGAAUUCUAGUUUGAUUCUGUGCUAAUUCCAGUCCAAGGAAGUAAGUCAAAUGGCCAAGAUCUGUCAUGUCAUACUCCUCCUUCAUUUGUUUCUUGAACUCUGCGAUCUCAUUCUCAUAAUCUCUAGUUACAAUAACAUCAUCAACAUAUAGACAUAUUAAUAAUGUGCCUUGUUGUUGUAGAUUCUUCACAUACACACCAAACUCAACUGAGCAUUUCCUAAAUCCCAUCCUGAGUAGCAAAGCAUUUAUGUGAUUGUUCCAGGCUCGGGGUGCUUGCCUGAGACCAUACAGAGUCUUAUGCAAUCGAUACACUUUCUGUUCUUCACCCUUCUUCACAAAGUCAGGUGGUUGUCUAACAAACACUUCCUCUUCCAAUGGCCCAUUCAAGAAAGCUGACUUAACAUCCAUUUGAUGGAUUUUCCAGCCUCUUAAAUUUGCCAUAGCUACAACCAAUCUAACAGUUUCAAUACGAGCAACUAGUGCAAAGACCUCUGUGAAAUCUAUUCUGAUUGCUGUAGAAAACCCUUUGCUACCAACCUAGCUUUCAACUUCGCAAUGCUUCCAUCAGGAUUGUACUUAGUCUUGAAUACCCACUUGACUUCAAUGGCCCGUUUGUUCUGCGGGAGUUCCACCAUUUCCCAAGUUCGGUUCUUUUCUAUAGCUUUCAACUCUUUUAUCAUGGCCUUCUUCCAUUCUUUCAUAUUCACAGCUUGUUCCCAGGAGAGAGGCUUAGCAUCAACAAAAUAGGCAGAGUGAGUAAAGUCACCCGAGUCUGUGACUUAACUAUUAGCAAAGAUCUCAUGAUUUGCAAGCCUUGACGAUGGAAACCUCACACGUUGAGAUCUUCUGUUGUUGAUUGCCUCGACGUCAUCAAUCUUUUUUUCAUCCAUGCCAUUAGACAUUAUGAGACUUGGCCUCAUCACGGUUUCUGUUUUAUUCCAAUCGUACACUGCGGCUUCAUCAACUAAAAUGUCUCUGUUGACAACUAUUUGGUCCUUCUCAGGAUCAUACAGUCUAUACCCGCCAAUGGAAUGAUAUCCAACCAUGACCAAAACUUGACUUUUAUCAUCCAACUUCUUUCUCUUUUCAUCUGGCACAUGAACGUAACAAGGUGCUCCAAAAACUCUUAGAUGCCCUACUGAUGGCUUGAACCCAGUCCAAGCUUCUUCUGGUGUCGUGCCUUCAAGAGCUCUUGUAGGACUCCUGUUAAGAAGAUAGACAACAGUGGAGACAACUUCUCCCCACAAAAAACGUGGUAGUUUCUUGCCUUUAAGCAUACAUCUCGUCAUAUCCAUUAGUGUCAUGUUUCUUCUCUCUGCCAGUCCAUUGUGCUGGGGUGUGUAAGGAGCUAUCACUUCAUGCAAGAUGCCUUUGUCUUGACAGAACCCAUUCAUUUCCUUUGAAUUGAAUUCUCCACCACUGUCCGUUCUGAGGAUCUUGAUCUUCAGUCAAUUUGUCUCUCGGCCGUGCAACAAAAUUUACAGAAAUAUGAGUAUACUUCCUUCUUUUCUUUUAGUAGGUAAAUCCACAUUUUCCUAGUGAAUUCGUCGACAAAUAGAAGAAAGUAUUUAUUACCUCCAAGAGUUUGCACAUCAAUUGGUCCACACACGUCCGAGUAUACAACUUCUAAAGGCUGCUUAGCCCUCUUAUUCAGGAUCUUCUUGAAUUCUUUUCUGGGUUGUUUCCCUACAGCACAUCCUUCGCAGAUUUUGUUCGGUGUAGUGAUUAUGGGAACACCUUUCACCAAGUCUUUAGCUUUCAGUUGAUUUAGACUUCUGAAAUUCAGGUGCCCGUACCGAUAAUGCCAUAGCCAACCUUCAUCUUCAGAACCUGUUACAGUCAAACAUUGAACCUCCAUUGCAUUUAGACUUACCUUGAAAGUUCGAUUGCGUGCAAGAGGAGCCUUAAGCACCAGCCUUCGCCUUUCAUCAAACACCUCAAUGUGUUUCUUAUGCAUCAUCAUGGUGUAUCCCUUUUCAAGAAGUUGUCUAAGGCUCGAGAGGUUGCUUUUCAUCGUUGGAACAUACAAAACGUUAUGCAUGUAGGCAACUUGUCCGUUCCUUUGUGUGAUCAUCACCUUCCCCGUUCCUUCAGCUUUGAUGGUACUGUUAUUAGCGAAGCGCACCGUGCUCUUUAUGCUCGUGUCCAGAUCGAGUAGGCAAUCUCUCUUACCUGUCUUGUGAUUUGAACAGCCCGUGUCCAAAUACCAUGAGGUAUCGUCUUCUGCAUGUUCAAUUUUUCCAGCAAGUGACACGUGACUUUCUCGUUUCGUUUCCCUUUGACACUCAUCCUUGUCCUCAACAUGUUCUGUUUUUCCAGAAAGUGACAUGUGGCUUCUCUGUUUCGGUUUCAUUUGACACUCGUCCUCGUCUUCUUUCGAUUCUUGAUCACAAAACUUCUGCGAAUGUAUCAGACUUUCUUUAUUUUCAUUGUUCUCAACGAUGCUCAUUAACAAAACUUGUUCUGAGUCUGAUUCGCUAUUUUCUUUUACAAGAUUUGCUUCAUCCUUCGUUCCUUUAUUCGCUGUUUCAUUAUACCAACACUCGGAUGAUUAGUGGCCAUAUUUGUUGCAUGUAAAACAUUGUAUAUUCCUUUUGUCAUAGUUCUUUUGUCCUCUUCCUCUAGACUUUCUUCCUCCCCCAUUUUUUUCUUUUUUUUGGUUCGUUGUCAUUCUCGUCUUUGGACAACUUAGCCGAAACAUUUAUUCUGCCUCCAGUUCGACCACCACGACCUCUACCUCUGCCUCUUCCACGACUCUUAGAGCUUUGUCCGCUUCUAGCCUGUAGAGCUUGGUUCGUGUUCUGUGUGGCGCUCUUAUCUGCUACCUUUCUCUCUAACAAUCGUUGUUCAUGUGUUGAAGUGAAUUUUGCAGUUCUUCAACUCUCAGCUUUUCCAAGUUUUUACUUUCUUCAAUAGCCACAACAAUGUGGUCAAAGUGAGGCGUCAAUGUUCUCAAAAAUUUUCUGUACAAUCUUCUUUUCUUUCACAAUCUUGUCACAGCCUCUCAUUGCAUUUACCACGAUCUGAAUUCUUCCAAGAUAUUCUUUAAUCGUUUAUUGUCCCUCCAUACUAAGGAGCUCAUAUUACCUUUGCAAUGACUGUAACCUGAGCUUCUUAAUUUUUUUAGAGUUUCCAUAUCCCUCUUGCAGUAUGUCCCACGCUUCCUUAGUCGUGGCUGCUUUCGAAAUCUUUUGGAAGAUGGCCGGAGAAACACACUGAUGUAUUAGCAUGCGAGCCUUGCAAUCAACUUUCUUGUUUUCUUUGUAGCUUUUCUUCACUUCCUCCGAAUCUCUUUUGCAGGUUCAUUAAGACCUUUCUUGACAAUUUCAUCGAUCUCCUGAUAGCCCUGGUUUGGCGUAAACGAGGAGACGCUCGGAGGGAUAAAACGCACGGGAAACUCGCCGACAAAUGGGAAACUCGCCGACAAAGGCUCCCUGCAGAGUUCUGCUAACAAAAUAGAUCAAUUUAAGAACUGGAGACUCUUGAAUGAGGGCGGCGCUUACCAAAUGAUUAGAGACCGCCAGGUAUAGUUGCAAAUCAAAGUCUUCCGUUGGUCGCGCCAUCACCGGUGGAGACGUUAGUAUUUUCUUUAUUGUGGAGAAGGCAACUUCGCACUGAUCGUCCCAGUGCCGGGGUACAUUCUGCUUCAUGUUCUUUAUUAUGGGUUUGAUAUGAUCCGAGAGCUUCGGAAUGAACCGUGAUAGGGCGGUAAGGCGGCCGACUAAACAUUGGACCUCCUUAAGUUUCGUUGGGCUCCGCAUCUCCAAAAUCGCCCGGCAUUUGUCAGGGUUGGCCUCUAUUCCUCGGUUGGUCAACAAGAAACCUAGGAACUUACCUGCCUGUACCCCAAAAGUGCAUUUUAAAGGAUUCAACCGCAGGUCAUAUCGUUUGAGCUGUUGAAAGACUUCAGCUAGGUCUCUCAAAUGUUAUUGAUGUGAAGAGCUUUUUACCACCAUAUCGUCGACAUAAACCUCCAUACACCGCCCGAUUUGAUCCCGAAAGACUUUGUCCAUGAGCCGUUGGUAAGUUGCGCCAGCAUUUUUUAGACCGAACGACAUCACCUCAUAGUAGUAGUUGGCAUGCUCAGUUAUGAAAGUUGUUUUCUCCUGGUCCGGGACGUGCAUGGGGAUUUGGUUGUAUCCUGAAUAGGCAUCAAGAAAGCUUAAGACCGCGUGUCCCGAAGCACCGUCUACUAACCGGUCAAUGCUGGGAAGGGGAUAGUUAUCCUUGGGACAGGCUUUAUUGAGAUCGGUAAAGUCGACACAUUCGCCACUGACCAUUUGCUUUCUUUACCAUCACAACGUUUGCGAGCCAAGUGGUGUACCGGAUUUCCCGGACGAACCCGACCUUUACUAGUUUGUUCACCUCGUUCUGCACGGCUUCCCUUUUGUCGUUACCAAGUCGCCGCUUUUUCUGAGCUACCGGACGGGCUUCACGAAAUAUCGAUAGCUUGUGAGUGAUCACACUGGGGUGAAUUCCUGGCAUGUCAGAGGCGGCCCAUGCAAAAAGUUUGUUGUUUGACUUCAGCAGUGUGGUCAGGUCUUUUUCUUGUUCCGGCGUCAGGCCAGCGCCAAUGGAGGUGGUUUGGUCGGCAUUUUUGCCGAGGAUGAACUGUUUGGUUUCCCCCUGGGGUUGGAUGCGAUCAUCAAUGUUGGUCCUAGGAUCCAAAUCGACCAGUAUUGCUUCAGACCGUUUUUCUUUAAAAUAUGGCUUAGCCUUCAAAGCAGCCGCGUUGUGGUCGUGGGUUCGAGCCCCACGGUGGGCGCCAAAAUGUUUCGGUAUAAAUUUCAGGACCGAAGGACUAACCUUGAUGACGUCGNNNNNNNNNNNNNNNNNNNNNNNNNNNNNNNNNNNNNNNNNNNNNNNNNNNNNNNNNNNNNNNNNNNNNNNNNNNNNNNNNNNNNNNNNNNNNNNNNNNNNNNNNNNNNNNNNNNNNNNNNNNNNNNNNNNNNNNNNNNNNNNNNNNNNNNNNNNNNNNNNNNNNNNNNNNNNNNNNNNNNNNNNNNNNNNNNNNNNNNNNNNNNNNNNNNNNNNNNNNNNNNNNNNNNNNNNNNNNNNNNNNNNNNNNNNNNNNNNNNNNNNNNNNNNNNNNNNNNNNNNNNNNNNNNNNNNNNNNNNNNNNNNNNNNNNNNNNNNNNNNNNNNNNNNNNNNNNNNNNNNNNNNNNNNNNNNNNNNNNNNNNNNAACCCUCUGUGAGAGAGGAUUGAUAAAGUAUGAUGAAGAAUAUGCUGUAUGAAUUAUCAGUAAAGUGUAUCGGAAAAACGUACUUGUUUUGAAUCCUCCAGCCUUUACUUAUAGGCUUUGGGUUGAUAUAAGAUAAACAAAAUAUAAACAGAAUAACAAUAAAUAUAAACGGUCUUACUUAGCAUAUCUUUGUUUCUGUUAGGAUAUAUCUGAUAGAUAUAUUUAAAAUAUAUCUGGAUGAUAUAUUUUUGUGGAUACCGUUUACGUCGGCAUUGGGCCUUGAGUCCAGUAAGAUUGUGGCGCUAUGGUGGGCUGUUGGCCCAAAAAGGCCGUUCGGUUCCGGCCGUUGAAAGCAUACUACCUUACAUAUAAUAAUUUUAUUUAUUUCUUAUUCUUAUAUAAACAAAUACUCAUGAGGUUGGAAAUGAUGAUUAUAUAAAUGUGAUAAUUAUAUUAGUUAGGUUCCAUUUGACGAAAGAUAAACAAAAUAAUUUAUUGAUUGGAAUCAUUUGAUGUAACACAAAGAAGUUUGGAAUUUGAUAAUGAUAUAAGAGUGAAAUUUUUAAUUGAUAACUUGGGUGCCAAAUUGUGAGGAACUAUUAAUGAGACAAAUAAUAAUUCUCUUAUCACUGUAAUAGUAAAUUUAAGUAGAAAUGUAAUAUUUGAAUCAAUGAUAAAAAAAAAAAAAAAAGUGUAUAAUGAAAAAUGUAGACUUAAUAAUCAUCAUAAAAAAUUAUCUUGAAGACUCUAAGUACGUACAUUUUAUUUUCCUUAUUUACACGCCUUAAACAAUGUUGCUAUUUUAUACAUGAAAAUUUUAAAAUAAAAUGAUAAUAUUUAUGAUUGCUAAAUGAAAAUAUAAAAGAAUGAUAGUGUCAAAUUAUCAUCAUCCUUAAGGCUGCAUGGGAUUUUCAUCCAACGUGGGCUAUACAUUGGGUUCGGCCACUUCAAAUGUUCAAUUGCUAUCUCCACCUCUAUAUUUUCUCCUCACACCUUCCGAUUACAAUCUAAUGGUGAAAAUUAAUUUUAAAAAUUCUUACACUUUUAGAAAAUAACUUUCAGAAUGUGUCAAAAAGCCCCUAUUUUAUGUGCGUUUAAAGCUUAAAAGCUAAUUUGGUUAUUGCAGUGCUUAUAGAAGUGCGGAUGCGAAUCAUACAGGCGCAGAAAGAAAAAAAUCGAUAUUUUAAUGCAAAGCCCAAAGUCAUUGUAUGAAAGGAGAAUGCUUUUUGCAACUUAUUUCCUCAACGUGGAUUAGCCUUAUUGGUUGUUGCGGUGUUUUUGGAGGUGCGAAUGGAGUUCCUAGAGAUGCAAAAAGAAAAAUUCCAUAUUCUGUUGCUAAGCCCAUCCGUCAAAUAAUAUUUAAAAUAAUUUCUUUGAACAAAUAAAUAUUAAAAAAAAAUCAGUUACCAAAUUUUGGAUGAUUAUUAAAAUGCACCUUAUCCAAAUUCAUUUGAAGAAAAUAUAUAGGUGGAAAAAGCAAUUGAACAUUUGAAGAGGCUGAAGCCGAUGUAUAGCCCAUGUUGGAUGAAAAACCCAUACGGAAUUAAUAAUAUCAUGGGCCAAGCCCACUCAAUCUUAUUGGAUACUCAUUCAAGUUAUUCUUGAUGGUUCCCUGAAAAGAUGGCGAUUAAUCAGCACAAGUUUCCCAGUAGGUUGCCCCUCGGAUUCGUGAGCCAUGUCUAAGUCAAAGAGAUUCUUGUAAUGGAACAUCUAAACUACGAAUACUGUCAACAGUUUUCAAUCCCGUGCUUGCUGAAAACGAUGCAAAGAAGAAAUUUGGGCAUUUGAGGAAUAAACAACGAGAUCCAUGAUUCUUAAAUGAACGGAAAGAGCCAAUUUCUAGUGCUGAAUCAUUACUUUAUCAACACAACAACUCAACAUGGGUCAAUCUAAAAGGAUUGUAGUAUGUUAUUUAAAUCCUUAAAAUUGAAAUUAGGUGGUAGCGUUGGAGUAUCCGAGAAAGAAGUAAAAUUGGAGAUAUGGCAUGCAUACAUAAGACAAUGUGUUUUUGGUUACAGAUUAGCGUAAAAAGGGUCAAAAAUUGAAGUAGAUGAUAGAAUGAGAGAAUAAGCAUAUAUAGUAGUAGAAAUGAAGAAGAAGUGAUGAGUCAGAGGUGAGAGGAACGCAUGAAAAGGUGGUAAUUGUCAACGGCGGAAGUGGGGACAGCGACCAUGACCUUCACACUAACACACUCAUCUCUCACCGGCAAGAACAAACAGUACCUAUCGCAGCAAACGGGUCCCACGUGCCAAGCCUUUCCCAAACCCACGUCAAUAUUCUCCAACCCUAGCCUCGACCACUGCGACACUAUCAACACCCCAACCGGGUCGGGGCACCCUUUCCUCUCCCACACCCACUCCAUCACCUCCCUCACGUGCUCUUUCCCCACCCUCUCCUUCGCCCGCUUCACCAAACCCGACCCGAACCCCACCCCUUUCUCUUCUAACUCCCUCGCACUCGUCUCCGCACACCCUAAAACAAACGCGUUCCCGUAAUACCCUUCGGGCAAACCCGGCUUCAAACGGUUCCGCACGUUUAUACUGAAAACCAGCUUUAGUUUCUGGUUCCCCGGAAACCCUAUCGCUCUCGCCCAGCUUCUCCACACGUGCGCCGCCAGUACCUCGAACGAAGUGUACCGCGCCGCCUCGCCGUCUUCGCUCGUGCACUGCGCCACUCGCUUUAGCUCGUUCAGCCGCGUCUUGUCGAACGUAAUCGACGUUGGUUUUAGCCCGGUUGAGACCUUGUUCAUGAAGCUGCAUAGGUCCGGGACUCUGCUAAACUCGGGAUGACUGGCUGAAUCCACCCGCCUCUCCUCCCCGCGAGGUGGUUUCAGAAGGUGACGCUCCCAAACCGGUUUCUGGAUGCGCAUGUAACUCGUCUCGCGUCUCUCGUUAGCCAACUCGGCGAAGUGGUUGAGAAACUCCGCGCUGCCGAUGCCGUCGCAGAGGCAGUGGUUGAUCCCGAUGGCUAUAGCGGCGGCGCCGUCGACGAGCCAGGUCAGCUGAACCACCAGCGGCGGGGAUCCCUUGAGCACGUCUGCCACGUGGAGCGACAACAACGGCCUCCAUUGCGUAACUGUUUUAGGCGCUUUUUCAAAGUCGUUGGCCUUGUAACGGACAGCGAAGGCUUCUAUGAACACCGCGCCUUGGGCCGCGCACACCACCUCCAGACCCGGGCCUUCGGGCUUGGGCCUGACCCUGCCCGCAAAGGGGUAGUAGGGAACCAAGGCUCUGGAUAAUGCCGAUUUUAGACGAGCCGUGGUAUUAGGCUGGUCCAGCCCAGGGGAGGGCUUGUAGACUAACAGAUACUCUAUGGUGAAACGAAGGAAGAGUUGCGAAUCAAGCGCUGAUAGAGCGAGCACGCAGCGUGGAGUGGGCUCAGAAGGUGUAAUCACCGAUGCUUCUUUUACACGCACGGAAGUUCCCAUUUUUGUUCUCUGGUUUAGUUUUUUGUGCUGGGAAUUUUGCAACUUGGGCUUGGGAAGAGAAGCUUAAAAUGGUGGUGGUGGUGGUGUUGGGGUGCUUAUACUAAAGAGAUGCCUGAUUUAGAACAAACAGGUUGCGUGCGAGUGUUAGGGUGAAUACAUACAUAUGAAGCAACAAAUGGAUGAUAUUUAUAAGGUACGAGAACAUGUGAGUUGCUCGUGGGUUCUUCUUGAGCUGAGAUGCGAAUUUUCAUGCAGUUUUAUUACUGAAGUAAUUGACGUGAUAACAGUAAUUAUGGUUUUAAAAAUCAAUCUUAGGUGGUCGAAACAUGUGUAAGAAAAUUCACAGAAAGAAAGUUAGCAAAAUUCUUAAAUUCUAUAUGUGGGGGCCCGAGUGUAGUAUGGUUGUAGAAUCAGAGAUUUGGGAAGAAGAGUAGUGUUGUCAAGCAUUUAUUUAGGAACUUGAUUUUGGGGUGCCAAGAUUCUCUGGGCAUCUUUGCGGAAGAAAAUGAAUAUGAAAACAAAGGCAGUACACUGUAGAACAGAUGUGCCCGUUUGCUAUUUUUGUCUUUUGGGUUGGACUGAUAGCUAUUACUCCCUCCAUCUCAAUCACCCACAAGCAUGCAAGCACAAUUAUUUUUUAGACUUUUGUUUAUUACAUUGCUUACAGUUGUAGGGUGUUAGAUUAUAGUAAAAAAUAUUUGCUUUACACAUAGAAAAAAGUUGUGUAUUUUUGUGGUGUUUGUGAAGUGUGAAAUUGUGGUGAGGUUGACGUGAGUCGUGGCUUCACCGGCCUUUCUGUCAUUCUGUCCAGUUUGUGUCCCCAUAAUAGGGUAGCUAUACCUGGCAGAAAUUUCAUCAUCCAAAAUAUUAAAAUGCAAUAGGUGAAAACCACUCUCUGUGAGGAUAAAAGUUAAGUUUAAAGCAUUCCCUUGCCUACAUAUAAAAAUCCAUCAUUUAUAUUUGGUUAGGCAUACAUGUUAUUCAUCAAGUCAUAAUCGUAAAUUUCAAUUUGGUACACCUUUUAGUAAAAUUAUACAAUUUUCCAUAGGACUUUUUUCCUUUUAGUAAUUUAUAAAAUCUGAUACAACUUCAACCCAGUAUUAUGUUUUUACCUACUGUUGUAUAUUUCUAUCGCUAACCCCGAAGUCAGACAAAUUAUAGUUGCAUGGAUCCACAUAAUGGAGAACAACCAAGAGAGUGGGGUCUUGGAUGGUUUUUCUCUUUAUCUCUUCUAAGAAUAUCUAUUUUUUAUUACCUUCUUUCGUUUCAGAUAUUCCAAGGAUUCAAAGAUGGUUAUAUCACAGAAGCUUGGAGAAGAGAUUCUGUCAAAACAUUGCUUCUCAGGCUUUUUUUCUUCAAGAGGGCCCGAAAACACCACUAACCAUUUUAUAUACUUGGUUUUAGAAUAGUGUUAAUUAAUAGUGAAAUGAUAUAUUAAAAUCAAUUACGGUGCGUUCUACUUCUAAGAUAAGAUUUGUAUCCAUUUAUAUAAUCUAAAUUGGUUUUAUCUUUAAUAGAUAUAGAUUCAUCGAAAAAGUGAUAUGAUAAAAAAGAAAAUAAGAGAAGGUUGGGUUUUUGACAUUAGCAUGCAUGAGGUUGAGAAGGACAGAAGCAGAGUGAAAUCCAGAACGUUGGUAUCACCGGGCAAUUAAUUCUCGUGCAGAUUCUCUCUUAAAACAUCGUCUCCUUCUUCCACACAAGACAAAAUAUGGGCAGUGAAGAGAUUGAGACGCAUAUGGUUCUUAAUUAACGCAACAGUACUCUAUCAUACUACAGAGACAAGGUAAAAAUAAAGUCUAUCAACAGUACAAUUUUUCUUUAUAUUAUUUCUUAUUAAUGAAUAAAUAAAGCAUAGUUGAGAGCAUAGGACCUACCCUUCCCCCACUUGGAUCCAAUUUCAGAUUAAGAUCAUCACCAUAUCUCCCUAAAAGCUUUCAACUAAAGCCUUGUAUAGGGCUUAUCAAAAUCUUCCAUGCAUGAAAAAUUUUGGUAAAUUUCUUGCACUCUUUUUUUGAUUCCUUCUUGCUUUGGCUGCCUUUUUUUUGUCCUCUUUGCUGCAUGCCCAUCACAUCUUUUCCAAAAAGUAAGAUAUAUGUUAUCAACUUAUGAAUUAUUAAUUAAUUAAAAAAAAUAAACCAUAUUUACAUAUAUCACUUUGUUCCUAUUUUGAAGGAACCUAGCCAGCUAUAUACCCAUUGGGACUGUGUAACGCUGAUUUGAAGGUUUUGUUCUCAAGAUUAUGGACAGUGAUAUGUUACUUAAUUAGCUAUGCAAAAGAGGAUAAUAUAAGAGUAGAAUCUGUGCGAAUCCAGGAAAAAAAAAAAAAAAAGUCCAAGUGCUAGCUAGCCACUAUAAACGACGGAUUAACAAGGCAUGUAUGAGAAUUAGAAUCGAAUAAAGAUUACAUGAUCGCAAAAAUUAUUUAUAAUCAACAGAAAUCUCACUUAUUAAUUACGUUUAUAUUCGAAUAAUAUAAGUACAGACAUUGAUUAAUAUAAUAGUUGGUUUCAUAUUUGCGAUAAUUUAAAGCAAAAAUUAUAUUCAUUUUAGUUACUCAAAUUAUAUCAUACUUUUAAUCAUUAUUUUUUAAUUCUUAUUAAUUAUUAACGUUUGUUCUUGUUUUUUUUGGGGGUUAUAUAGACCUCAUUUUUGUGAGAUGGAAUCAUUCACUUUAUAGAUUAAAGUUCUAUGUGUGUUAGAUUAUUUUAAUUUAAUAUUAGCUCAAAUGAUUUUAAUGUAAUGAUUAUUAAAUUAUAAAUGUAUUAAAGUCAUUUAAAUUAUUUUAAAGAUGUUAAAAUUAAUUCUCUCUUCUUACUUUAUUAAGGAUAUUAUGGUCUUUUAAUAAAUAUUUUAAAAGAAACUGUUAUAUCUUCUAGAAAUUACGUUACUCGUCUUAUAAAAAAAGAGAUUAAUUUUUAGAUAAGAUUUGACUUGGCAAAGAAUGGUGCUUAUAGUUCUAUAUCAUCAGAGAAACCAUUAAAGGAAGUAAAAGAAUGAAACAUAUUCAUCAGUGUCAAACAGAUGUUUAUAAUGGAUCUAUGCAAGUUUUUUAAUCCUUCUAAUUGAUAUUUGACCAUUAUAAUUAAGUGAAAAUCAUAAAUUUUAAGAUUUUUAUGAUAUAGAGUAAUUUUCUUCAAUUGUAUUAAAAAUGUAUUAAAACUAUAAUUAACAUUUGUGAGUUAGGUUGUUGGCUCUAGAGAUAAUAACUGUUAGGAUAUGGAUGUGCAUAAUCAGAAUUUGAUCUAACGGAUAAAAUUAUAUUUGUUAUUCGUGUGGAUAUCUGUUUAAAAAAUAUCCACGAAUAUUUUAAAAUUCGUAAGUAUUCAUAGAUACUCAUAAAAAAUAAAAAAAUAUAUAUAUUUAUACAUCUUUAAAAUGGAAUUACAAAUAAUAUAUAUAUAUAUAUAUAUAUAUAUAUAACAAAUUAAAUUAAAUAUACAUUAAAAUUUAAUUUUAAUUAAAUUUAAUUUACUAAAAUAUAAUUUUUUUAUUUUAUUUUUAAUUAAAUUUAAUUAAAAAUAAAUAUAAAUUACUUUUUUCUUUAUGAGUAACAUAUAUUCGCGGAUCGAAUAGUAUAUUACUCGUAUCCGAUCCAUUUAAAAACAGUAUUAAAAUAUCCGUUAUCCGUUACCGCGGAUAGUAAAUAUCCGUGGACAGUAACUAUCCGCUGCGGAUUUUAUCCGCAUAUACCCGUGUCCACAUAUUCUUUUUGUCAUCCUUAGUUGGCUAUAUGAUCUCAAUAAUUUUAUCCCCAAAUUUUUAUAAAUUCUAAUAAUAUAUUUAGGGAUUUUAAUUUUGUUGCAUAUUACGAAUUUCACUUCAAUUACUUUCAAAUAGAUAUCGGUCAUGGUACCCUGUCAUCACAAGUUCAAAUUGAAUUUUAAUAUGAAUUCCUUUUUCCAUUGUGUGUCGCAUUUGCAAUUGAUUGCAAGCUUUGAACUGCAAAUUAAAUGCUUUAAAUUGAAAAGCAAUUUCUCUAUCCAGUGAAUUAAAAAUAAAAGGUCUUGAAUUGGAAAAUCAAAGUGAUUUGAAAAUUGAAUGUUAUUUUCUUCUAUUUUAAUAAUUUGAGUGUAUAUUAGGAAUUAUAUUAGCAAUGGAGAAAAUUUAUUGAUCGUUGUCUCUAAUUUUUGUCAUGACCUUCUUCAUAUCCAAAGGACUAAGGACUAAUUCCGUUUAUAGUGUUAGAAGAAUGUUUUUGUUCAUGAAUUUUAUUAUUUAAGAAUUAGUUAUAGGAUAGAUUUGUAAUUAAAGAGAUCAAAUAUUUAUGUUUUAGUUAAUUAUAAAUUAGAGAUUACUUUUUUAAUCAUUUAUUAUUAUAUGGUAUUUCUGAAUUAUCUAAAGUCGAAUCAUUAUGUAUAAUUAACAAUACAAAUUAUUUAUAUUUAUUCAUGUUUGCUUAUCCCAAACAUGUUAAGUAUAUUAAGAAUGACACAUUUUAUUGUCCAUUAAUGUAAAAAGGAUUGUAUUUAUUUUACCAAAGUAAGAUAGACACAUAAUUAAAGUCCAUAUAUACUAAAUUGACAUUCUAUUACUUAACAUGAAAUUAAAGUCCAUAUAUAUUACUUUGGAUACUAAAUUGACAUUCUAUUACUUAAAAUCUUAAACAUUUAAAACUAAUAUUUGGUCUUAGACUAAAAUAUUUAUAAGCCAAACUUGAGACUAUUUAUAUGCUCUGAUACCAAAGUUAAGUAACGAGUAUAUAUAUCUCUUUUGUGGACUGAUAGAUGAUUUAUAUUCUCGAUAUAAAAAUUAUUGAUUAUAUCAAUAUUUUUAUGAGAAAUAUUACAUAAUUACUUCUCAAAGUAAUUUUUCAUGCUCAUAGUAGAUUAUCAGAAGUGAAAUAUGGAUCUAUAUGUAUGAUAAAAUGAGAUUGAGUCUUGUGAUUAUAUGUCCAAUUUUAGAACUUUGGUGUUUGUAUUAUUUGUUAAAUUUAUUAAGAUUGAUAUUUAAAACUUACAAAUAUCUCACUUUUUUUCAUAUGUGCUUGUUGUAUGAGUAAAAGAAUAACAUGUUUAAUAAGAACUCUUCGAAAAAUUGUUGGGAAAUUUUUUUAAGAUUGAUUCAUUGGAUAAUUUAUAUUAACGUCUUAAGAGAAAUUAUUAAAAAAUAUUUUAGACAUAAUGUUUUUUCUUUUAUCUAAAUAUGUGUAUACUAUAGAUUUGAUAUUGUAAUAAAUGAUUUUUAUUAUUUUAAUAUUCGUAUUAAGUUUAUGAAUCUUUACUUAAUGUUAAAUAUAUUGAAAAUAAGCAUAAGGUGCAUUGUAAUAAUUCUAUUUAUUUAUGACAUUAAAAAUUAAGUCAUAUAUAAGGAAUGAAUAAUGAAGUUAAUGAAAAAUUUUAUUUUACCUCAAUUGGAUUUUUAUAAAUAUAAUAUAUAUUUGAAUUUUAUUAAAGAAAAUCAAAUAAAAAAGAUAUCUAAGAAUUCAAUUACAAUAAAUAAUGAAAAUUUAGAAUUAAUACAUUAUAUUAUAUUUAUGGACCUUUUAACAUUUCAUCUAAGAGCAGGAAAAUAUUUUAUGACUUUUAUAAAAGAAUUUUCACAUUAUUAUUAUUUGUAUAUUGUAAGACCCUAAAAAUUUUAGAGUAAAUUUAAUUAGUGAUAAUCCCUUGUUGGUUUAAUGGUUGAGUUUUAAAUUUUGCUUAAUGAAUAAAUUAUUUAAUUGUUUUAUUAAUUUAUUUAAAUUUUUCCUGUAAGUUAGAAAUUGUUGUAUUUUGGUUACUAAUUAUUUUAUUAUCAUAGAGUAUACGUUAAUAGGAAUUAAGAUGUGGUGCAAAUAAAAAUUAUGUGUGGGGCCACUUUAUUCAUUUAAAAUUAUGGUUAGUAACCACAUGAGUCAAACAAGAUGAGAGAGUUAGUUUUUUUUAGUGAUCCUUGCCGAAAAGUAAGGCAACAGAAGGAGUGCAACGUUAGAGUUAGUGGAGUUAUGGGGAAUUAGGAGAGAGGNUUNUUUCUGGUUAUAAAUUGGAAAACAGAGAGAAAAGUAAAGGGGGCAUUGUGAGACAGUGGCUGGAAAAUCUAAAGAGUAGUUUGAAAUUGCUUGAGUCAAGAACGAGAGUUGGAAGGAGGUGAAAGUUUUGGCUGGAAACGUUGGGUAAAGAAAGAAGUCUAGGAUCAUUCAAGGUAAGGGAAGCGUCGUAUUAUUCUGUGUAUGUUGUUUGAUACCCUUACUGUGGCUUUUGUAUAAAAUAUGUUUAUGUUACGUGUUGUUUUAUCGAGACACAAUAUAUACUGUGAUGAAUGAUUUUCGUGAAUCCAUCUAUUUUCUCAGUGUAAGAUUUGGUUCUUUGAUUCUUUCGAUAGGGUUUGAUGUAAACGCACAGAGUCAGGUUCAUAUAUAGUAAUUGGUGAAUAUAGAAUUUAGAUCUCCCAAGGUUCUGUAAUGUUCAUCAUGUUCGACCUGGUUAGGGAUGUAAGCCGGUUGUCUUGGACCGAGAAGGGUGUUCAAGUUAGUGGUAUAUCUAGAUAUAAUAAAUUCACUGGGGUAUAUUUUGGCAUUAACAUAGGUAGAAGAAAACACAGGUGAAAUUUUAUACUGGGUUAGUAGUAAUGGGGUUCACUGCAUUUUUUUUUGGAGAUUUCAUUCUGAAAAGUUAUCAUAAAGAGAGGAUAUUGCAUGAUUCUCUGAUGUGUUUAACCGAGACUGUCAUAGCCACUUUCUNNNNNNNNNNNNNNNNNNNNNNNNNNNNNNNNNNNNNNNNNNNNNNNNNNNNNNNNNNNNNNNNNNNNNNNNNNNNNNNNNNNNNNNNNNNNNNNNNNNNNNNNNNNNNNNNNNNNNNNNNNNNNNNNNNNNNNNNNNNNNNNNNNNNNNNNNNNNNNNNNNNNNNNNNNNNNNNNNNNNNNNNNNNNNNNNNNNNNNNNNNNNNNNNNNNNNNNNNNNNNNNNNNNNNNNNNNNNNNNNNNNNNNNNNNNNNNNNNNNNNNNNNNNNNNNNNNNNNNNNNNNNNNNNNNNNNNNNNNNNNNNNNNNNNNNNNNNNNNNNNNNNNNNNNNNNNNNNNNNNNNNNNNNNNNNNNNNNNNNNNNNNNNNNNNNNNNNNNNNNNNNNNNNNNNNNNNNNNNNNNNNNNNNNNNNNNNNNNNNNNNNNNNNNNNNNNNNNNNNNNNNNNNNNNNNNNNNNNNNNNNNNNNNNNNNNNNNNNNNNNNNNNNNNNNNNNNNNNNNNNNNNNNNNNNNNNNNNNNNNNNNNNNNNNNNNNNNNNNNNNNNNNNNNNNNNNNNNNNNNNNNNNNNNNNNNNNNNNNNNNNNNNNNNNNNNNNNNNNNNNNNNNNNNNNNNNNNNNNNNNNNNNNNNNNNNNNNNNNNNNNNNNNNNNNNNNNNNNNNNNNNNNNNNNNNNNNNNNNNNNNNNNNNNNNNNNNNNNNNNNNNNNNNNNNNNNNNNNNNNNNNNNNNNNNNNNNNNNNNNNNNNNNNNNNNNNNNNNNNNNNNNNNNNNNNNNNNNNNNNNNNNNNNNNNNNNNNNNNNNNNNNNNNNNNNNNNNNNNNNNNNNNNNNNNNNNNNNNNNNNNNNNNNNNNNNNNNNNNNNNNNNNNNNNNNNNNNNNNNNNNNNNNNNNNNNNNNNNNNNNNNNNNNNNNNNNNNNNNNNNNNNNNNNNNNNNNNNNNNNNNNNNNNNNNNNNNNNNNNNNNNNNNNNNNNNNNNNNNNNNNNNNNNNNNNNNNNNNNNNNNNNNNNNNNNNNNNNNNNNNNNNNNNNNNNNNNNNNNNNNNNNNNNNNNNNNNNNNNNNNNNNNNNNNNNNNNNNNNNNNNNNNNNNNNNNNNNNNNNNNNNNNNNNNNNNNNNNNNNNNNNNNNNNNNNNNNNNNNNNNNNNNNNNNNNNNNNNNNNNNNNNNNNNNNNNNNNNNNNNNNNNNNNNNNNNNNNNNNNNNNNNNNNNNNNNNNNNNNNNNNNNNNNNNNNNNNNNNNNNCAAUUGAGGUGUUGAUGUUGUAUUUGAAUAUGGUAGCUUACCCUUAUUGUUUGUGUAUGAAUGCGAUGAUCGUAUAACUCGUGUUGUUAUACGGGAGCANAUGUUAAUACAGAUGUUCCAGCUGAUAAUUAGAGCGAAAAGAAGUCGGGAAUGGAAUGGAGAAAGAUUUUCUUUGUUUUUGAACAUUUUCAGUUAAAUUGAAUUUAUGUCAUUUUAUUUUCAAUUGACUUGGGACUUACCAGUUUGUAAUAAAUUUCCCUUUAAUGGGACCGUGAUGGUUUAUUGUUUAUUUCCUCAGUCUAAGAUUUAUAUGGAUGAAUUAUUUUGAUUUCGUUAUCAAAACAACAUAUUUUUUUUUCUCAUAACUAACAGAAUUGGGAUGUUACAUAUAUUCUGCAAGAAAAACCUCAAUCAAUAUACUCCUUAAAAGUGUUGGUAGAAAGACAAUUAGAUAAAAGAAAAAAGAAAAUUAUAAGAUCUAAUAUAAUUAAUGAAUUUUAUGGGAAAUCCACUAAAAAUAAAGAAUAUAUACGUCUAUUUCCAAAGUUUCUUAAAAGUAGAGAUAUGUAUGCACAAUCCACUAUGUCUCAUGAAAAUUACAAGUAAUACUAUUGAAGUUGAAGAUAAUAUAGUUUUCAUUCUAAACCAUUUUCAAAUUGGAUUAUGCAUUUAGUUUGAUAAUUAAACUAAAUCGGAAAUGAUUUUUUCAUUGGGUUAAUUAGUUAAAAAUCAUCACUUUUUGAGGAUAAAAUAUCUUAAAUGGAAUUUUUAAUAUUUUAUACUUAUAAUAACUAUAAAUAAUAUUGACAUGAUAAUAUUAUAUAUAUAUAUAUAUAUAUAUAUAUAUAUAUAUAUAUAAUUGAACAAAAUUAUAAAAGUAUUUACAUUUUAUACUAAAUAUGUUUUUCAAUAAAAUAAUAUACAAAAUCAAUUAUAUUUUAUAUUAUGUGUUUUAUUCUAUAUCCAAAAUUGUAUAAAAUAAAUAAAGAAAAUAAUGAAGAAGUUUAGAAUAUUUUUGAAAUAAAUAAAAUAAUGAAGAAGUUGUUAUACUUUUUAAUAUUUUAAAUUGUAAGAUAUUUUUGGAAUAAAGAAAAUAACGAAGAAAUUUAAAAUAUUUUUGAAAUAAAUUAAAUUAAUGGGAGGUACAGGUCCCACUUGGAGAGGUAUAGGGAGCAACACCCAACUCUAAAUCAUAACAACUCACUUUAAAAAUAUAGAAGCAAAAGCGUCUGAGCCCAUGGAAUAACUGAGCUCAUAUUGGACCUUAAUGGGCUUAAGUGUACUGUUUGUUGGUUGCCCUAAAACUUUAUACCUCCUAUACAACUUAUAUUAGAAAAAAAUAAAAUGCCUUAUAUUAAAAAGAAAUAUGAAAAAACAUGAGAAAAGAUGAUGAGAUAAUUUUACGAGAGAAAAAAACCAGUUGUUAUCAAGUGAAAUGAACCAUUGAAAUCAUUUUUUUUUUGUUUAAUUUUUUUUAAGGAACUUUAUUUUGUAAGUUUUUUAACAUAAGGUUGAUUUAAUCUCUAUUUGUUUUAUUUUUUAUUUUUAUUAUUUGUAAAUCAUUUUAUGAAAUGGCAUGAUUAUUAAAUUUUGAAACGUCAAUGUAAACGAAAUUUUAUAGUUUUAAAAUGAAUAGUAUAUUAAAAACAAAACUAUUAUAAUUUUAAAUUAAGAAAUUUGAAGAAAGGAAUUACUAGUAUUUGAAAAAACUAAAAAAGAGUUAUAGAAUGGGUGUUGGAAGAGCAGAAAGUAAAGGCAUAAAGACAAAAUGAGACAGAAGCAAAAGGUUUUUACUUGUGCGUCAUAGAGCAUUGUCUCACUCACUCUGUCCAACCCUUUCUUUUUUAAUUUUUAAUAUUUUAGUUUUAUUCAAAAUGAGGAUUUCGAAAGUAAGAAGUAAUGCUAAAUACUUAAAAAAUGAUAAUGCUAACGUGAUAUACAUUUACACUCAUUUAACACAUGUUAGAAAGAUAAAAUAAUUUUUAAUAUUAAAAAGAUAGAAAAUAUAAAAAGAAUAAUAUUAAAUAAAUAUAAAAAAUUUGGGAGCAUUAUUUUAGUACUUCUAAUUUGGGUUCAAGAUGAGUUCCAUGGAGGGCCCAAUUACCAGCCCUUUCUGACAAUUUCACAUGCAAUCAUAAAACUUCUUCCAUUUCAUUAUUUUAAAAAUGGAUGAGUUUUGGAGUUAUAAUAGAAUAGUUCUGAUAGUGUAUAAUUUAAUUAACGAGAGCAUGUUAAUAAAUAAGUAUUUGUAAAGUUAUGUGUACAUGUAUUUAUAAUAAUGAUUAUAACAUUCCAUGAUUUUUCUUAAUCAGAACAUUUAUCCCAAAAAAGAAAAAUAGGAUUGGAAACUUGUUUCAGAUGUAUUAAUUUUUUUAAAUCAAAAUAAAUUAAACUAUUUUGGAAUAUUAGUUAUAUAUGUGAAAAUUGGCAAAAAAAAACAUAUUUCUUAAAUAUACAAAAUACUUGUACUUUUUAGCAUUAAUAGUAUUUCAUUAAAUAAUUUAAAUUCUAUGUAAUGAAUUGUUAUUGAUUUGUCUAAUUUGGAGUCGAAGAUGAGUUGUUUGUUUAGUAUGUUUAAUGUUAAUUUUUAAUUAAUAUCCUUUUAUUUGUUUAUGCAUAUUUAGUAUAAGAAGUGCUUUUUUUUUUCAAAACAACUACGUAAGAAUUUCACAUGCAAACAUAAAAUAGUUGUAAUAUGAUAAGUUGAUUUGUGCUUAUACUUUCUUGACAGAUAUUAUUUUGAUAAUAAGUGAUUUUUAUUUAUUUUUAUUUGAUUUAAUUAUUUUAUCAUCACGAGGUAGUUUUCAACUUAUCUGUUUUUUAAAUAAGUGUUUUUGUUCUAAUUUUUACUAAUUUUAAAACGCUUAUUUUAAAUUUCAACAAACUGAGUUCAUAGGGUAUAAGUUAUUUUUAAAAAUUAUUAAUUUUAAAAACAGAUAUUUUAUAUUUAAAUAAGAUGACCCAUUAUGACUAAAUAUACAUGAGCUUAUUAUAGCAAAAUAAAACUAGCUUCCUUAUAUUUCAAGAAAACCUCUAACUAUAACUUAUAAAUAUAUUGUAAAAUUAUUCUCAGAUAUAUUAUAUUUAAAAAAUGAGUUAUAUUAAAGUAAUUUGAUAUAUCAUUUAUAUACAUUAAAAUUGACAUAAAAAUAUUUUUAAAUUGUAUUAAAAUAUGCAUAUUUUUUAGCAUUUUAUUAUCGUUCGUUUUAUUAAAAUUACAUUUUUUAUAAGAUUAUUAACGAAGAAGACGAUAAUUUUUAUUUUAUUUAAAAAAAAUAGAGAUGUAGCCAUGAAUUAUAAUUUAUUGCAAAUAUAAUUUUUGAAGACUUAAAAGAUAGUACAAUAGUAAUAUGAAAUUUUAAAAUAUGAUAUUGGAUUAUUUUAUUGUUAAAAUUUUUAAACUAUAAAUAAUUUUUCUAAUAAUCGACUUUUAUUUUAAAAAAAAUCUUCAUCUUUUUAAAAAAUAAACUAAUUUUAUAACAUUUUUCUAUCUUUUCUUUAAAAUAUUGAUUUCAACUCUCAAUCUUUUUGGAGGUCCACGUGACGAUUAUUGCAAAAAGUGUUAAAAGAUUCAUUAAUCAUUUUUUCCAUUCAAGUAAAACUUUUUUUUUCUUGAGCAAAAUCUCCAUUCUCUUUUGUAUGCAUCUCAUUAUGUGUAACAUCCUAAAAUAUAGUAUAAAACUAUAUAAGACCGAUCACAUAGUUAAUAAAACGAGAACAAUCGACAAAGGUUGGAAAACAAAGUUAUUUGACAAAGAUGUUUCUAUUUUUCUUUCUUUAGUACUAUAUGAUAUAUAUAUAUAUAUAUAUAUAUAUAUAUAUAUAUAUGUAUGUAUGUAUGCAUGUUUUAUAUUUUAUAUUGCCUUGAUUAUAUGACUUUGUUAUAUGUAUUUUUUCAUGAGUAAGAUUGAAGUAAGAAUGUAAUUGAUUGUCUUAGAAAUCAAUCAGUAAUAUUUAGAACGUAGUUUAAUAUUCAAAACAAUCAUUUCUAAGGGAAGGUACUACCGUAUUGUGUGUUAAGUGUAUUGAAGAGAAUUCUAUAUGUGAGACUAUCGUGAUUCUACUAGUAUCUAACUCAUACAGAGGAAGAUAUUUAGAUGGUGAGAGUUGAAUGAGACUGCUCAACCUAUGAUAUGAUAUGAAAAAUGAUCAUACUUAGGAAGUUGACGAUGUUAAUCUUAUCAUGACUUAAUGGAGGGUAUUGGUCUUUUUAUUUUGAUAUGGCUCUAAAGGAGCAAAAGUAAGUAUGGCAUGUGUAAAAUAUUAUUAUGAGUUUAUUCAAUACACUGGUUUUUAGGAAGCAGAGACUCAAAUUAUUUGUUGUUAGAUUAUAUGAGAAUUGUUGUUAUAUUGUUAAAGAUAGUUGGAUUGAGUCAUAUGUGUUGAUAUAUUAUUUGACUUGUUAGAUUGAUAAAUGUGAUCAUGAAUUAAACAAAGCUAUGGAGGUUGAAUUGGAUUGUUUAAGUUAGUUUUGAUCGAGCCACUAGGUUGAAGCCUUUGAUGAAAUAUUGAUUUGAGCCAUGAGGUUGAUUUAUGUUUGAGAUAGUAAGUUUUAAUUAUUUUAUGUUUAGAAUUUUAAGUUUUUUCUUAAACAAAAGCUUUUAUAAAUGCACAUGGUUACCCUUGCAUUGUUUUGUGUAUGGUUGUGUUCCAUAUGUGAUGAUCGUACUCUUUAUACAAGAACAAAUGAAGGUGUAGGUUGUAGUAUGAAUCAACAAGUCUUGAGUGGGUGAAAACCUGAUAAUUCCUAGAGUUGGAGACUUUUAUAUAGAUGUAUAUUAUAUUGUAUACUUUGUAGUCCUCCUAAAUGAUAUUUUAUAGAAUGUUUAAACUUUUUUGUAAUAAGAGAAAUAAAAGACCAUAAACAUUCUUUAAUUAUAUGAUUGAUUAUGCUUUAUAUUAAUUAAGAAAUAUCAAUAGUGAUGUCAAAACGGGUCACCCGGUCCGGUCCACCACGGGUUGGUCACUUAGUAAACCAACCCAACUCGACUCAUUUAUUAGCGAGUCAAAAAAAUCCGAACCCGGCUCGACCCACCACGGGUUUGUGGGUUAAACGAGUUGACUCAUUAGCUCACUUAAUUACAUUUUUUUAAAUAUAAAAAAUUACAAACCUUUUGUAAUUCAAAUCUAAAUAAAUUUCAUUCCCACAAUGACGUCAAACUCAAGACAAUUCAAAAUAAUAAUAAAAAAGUAUAAUACAAUCCACGUACAAUGAGUUAGAUGGUAUUUUUAGGGUUUCAUAAGAUAAUAAAUUAAUAAAAUAAAAUUAGGUGGGUUGGUGAGCCAACUCGGCUCACCACAGAUUCAAUCCGAAUGAGCCGGGUUAAAAAUUGACCCACAUAAUAAAAGUACACUUUUUUCAAACUCACCCCGGCUCAAACUCGUGGUGGGUCGAGUUAGUCCGCAAGUUAUAAUGCAUUUUGAUAACUCUAAAUAUCUAGGAGGAAAGUUUAGCUAACGUGGAAUAAUAAUUCAAGUAACUUUUGUGUGUAAUUCUACUUUUAAAAUAAUUUAUAUUUGCUUCAAACUCUUUUAAUGUUACAUGUUUUCUUUUUAUCCACCACAACAAGUUUUUUUACUAAUUAAUUGUUUGAUCUUAUCUUUAAUUUGCAAAAAUCAAGAAUUCGUAUUGGUUAUGGAUUAAAAAGUUCAAAAACUUGUAAAAGUUAAACUUGAAAUUUACAAAUAUGAGAAAAUUAAAAUUAUCAUAUGAUAUAGGUUAGAUAAAUUUAAGGAACAUGUGUGGAUAUGGAGAAAGUUGAUAUAAAUGAAUAUAGCAUGAGAUGAGAUGGGAUAAGAAAUGGAUAAUUGUAUGAGAUGAUUUUUGCUUAGAGGUAAUUGUUGUAAUACGUAGAACAACACUAUCAUUUCCAAGGUUAAUUAUCUACAUUUAUUCUAAUGUAUAAUCUUUUAAGGUGUUUUAAUGUAAUGAAAUUGUGUUUGAUGUUCCAUGACUAUUUGGAGAUAGGAUGACAAUGUGAGUUCGUCUGUCCUAUUUUAGCAUGUUUCACAUUUGGUCCACAAAAAGUAGGUUAGGAUGGCCCGUCUUGCAUAAAAACGUAGACUAAUUCUUCUGGCAUGUCCUCCAUUAUAUUUUUGCAACUUGUAUAAGAAAUUAUUUCUUUAUUUUUCUCUAUAGUAUGUAAAAUAGAGUACACAGUUUUAAUAACCUUAAUUUUAUUUAAUUAAAUUAGUAAAAAAAUAGAUUUUAUAAAUAUGUAUAACAUAGUUAGGGUUUAUCACAAUUAUGUCACUGCAAAGUUGUAUAAGACUAACUACCAUGAUGAAUUUUUUUUUUUCCUUUUUAUAAUGCAUGGAUCUUAUACUUUGUAAGAGUGCAGGGUAAUAUGUGUACCAGCUUUGCUGGGACACCAUAAAAUUAUUUAUGGUCUCUUUCAAUAAUUUUAUCAUUUAUGGUUAAAAUAUUAUUAAUAGCUAAAAAAUAGUUGGUUAAAAUUUCACUACUUUUGUACACAUAAAGGCAUUAACAUUAUUUCUUUAAAUAGUGUAAAUUUGUAAUGAAUAAAUUUGUUAUUGAUUUGUGAAAUUAACAUUUAUUUCUAAUUGAUCUCCUAUUUGUAUAUAAGAAGUGUUUUUUAAAGUCCAGAAGCAAUGAACUUAACCUCGUUUAAUGUCGCACCUUUAUUUUGGUGAUAAAAUAAAUUCAAAUCAGAAAGAUACAUUUCUAUUUCAAAACUUCAAGUCCCUAGUUCCUUCUUGUAUAACUCAAAAUGGUCUUUUAGACUAAAGCUUUUAAUGUUAUUCCGAUUUCAAUAUAUUUUAACCACAAAAUAAAAUAAUAUAUGUAAUAUAUUUAUCAACUAUUAAAAUAAUUGAAAUUUAAUUAAUAAAUAAUGAUUGCAUCUGGACGAAUGCCAUGACAAGUUUGUUGUAUGCUGUUUUUGAGAAAUUUGUGAAAAAAAAGACAAUGAAAAAUUGAAAAAUAAAAAAGAGAACAAAACUGAGUGAAAUAAAUAAAUAAAUGAUGACAAAGAAGAGAAAGGAUUAAACACUGGAAAAUGAAAGAGUACUAAUGUAAGGAGCUAUAGGAAGUCGAAGCCUUAUGAUGCUUCUAAAGGAAAAUUUUUCAUGUAUAUUUCUAAUUUUCUUUAGACAUUUCUAAUGUCUAAUAAUAAAUUAAUAAUUUUUAAUUGAUUUAUCUUAAACUAUUUUACAUUUUAAAAUAAAAUACUAUUUUAUUUGUGUCAGAUAAGUAUAAAGUAAAAUAUGGAGUAUAUAUAUGUUUGUGAAUUCUCUCUUCUCAUUUGUUUCACUCUGGCACCCUUGUCACUUCCCAAUGAGAAAUGGAAAAGUUAUAACAUCUGUAUAAAUAAAUAAAUAAAUAAAUAAAUAAAUAAAUUUCCUCAUUCUCGUUAUAUUGAGGACAUAAUUUUGAUUGUUUUUGAAAACAAUGAUCUAAAGAAAAUCUAGUCAUUCCCAAAUAUGAAAAGCAUUAGUGCAAAAAGUACACAAACAUCUACUGUACCCACAAGUUGGAAGAGAAACUGGUAUAAGAUAAAUGUCUUUCGUGGCUAUCAGUAUAUAUAAGUAUUGGAAGUUCACCAUGGUUGAUAAACCAAAAAAAAAAACAGACAUUUUUGAAGCAGAACAAGCUUCCAAACAUAAUCAUGACAGUUCAAUGGAGGAACUGCAUGCACUUGUAUAUAUGUGUCUACUUAGCUGACACUUACAGCUAUUUUCUUUGUUUUUUCAAGAACAAACUUCCAACAUCAGUAGAAUUUACGACACACUCUCAUGCAUAUAUUUAUAAAGGUAAUUAAUUUAAAUAGAUUAUAUAAUUUGAAUUGUGGGUGGGAAAGUAGCAGUAAUAAUUUUAGAAAACAGUAAAGAGAUUGGGAAAGAGAAGGAAGAAGAAAAGAAAGAAGGGAGUUUAUUUAUUCGAUGAGUGAGUGGGGUGCUUUUUUCUCUCUCAUGUAUAAAUUGCAUGUUACACCGCCCUAUUCCACCAUUGACAGGGAUGACAUCGAAACCCCUUUCAGCAGAGCCUACUCUUUGGACUAAUCAACAUCAACGCUGAACGAGGUACCCAAGGGUCUCCAUCUUUCCCCUCAGAUUAAAAACUGGGCCCAACCAAUGGCCUCUCUCCAACCUCAACCCCAAGAAACCAAACCCACCGUCACCACCGCCACACCCUCCACUCCCACCCAGACAUCUAUCACCACCAACAAUACUACUGCUCGAAAAUGCAAAGGCAAAGGUGGCCCCGACAACAACAAAUUUAGGUACCGCGGCGUCAGACAACGAAGCUGGGGCAAAUGGGUCGCCGAGAUCCGCGAGCCACGUAAGCGCACGCGCAAGUGGCUCGGCACCUUCGCCACCGCAGAAGACGCCGCCAGAGCCUACGACCGUGCCGCCCUCAUCCUCUACGGCUCCCGUGCCCAGCUUAAUCUCCAACCCUCCGCUUCCUCUUCUCACUCCUCCUCCUCCUCUCGUACCACCUCUUCCUCUUCCACUCAAACCCUAAGACCCUUGCUUCCUCGCCCCGCGGGCUUCGCUUUCAAUUUUCCCUUCCACGCCGCCGCCCUUCCCUACCCUUAUAUCACCACCUUCAAUUACACCCCGCAGGCGCUGUGUCCUAAUGAGAAUAGUAAUAAUACAGUGCAUGCUCAUCAUCACCAUCACCAUCACCGCCCUGAGGAAUCGGUGCAAGUGCCACAUGCUCUAUCAACAUCAUGUCCAAAGUCGGAAUCCGAUGUGAGUUUAGGUGGGGAUAAUACUACUGUUAAUAGCUCCAGUAGAUCAACCUCGUACCAAAGACAUGGUUCCGAGGAUAAUAAACCCGUGCAUGUGCGACAUGAGGAUUCUUCGAAUCAUCAACAACAUCAGAACGGCGAUGCGGAUGGAGUUAAUUCCGUUGUGGGUUCGGCGGAGGGUUCUCAGGCAAAUAUGGAGGCUUCCGAGGAUCCCGAUCUGUCGUUGGUGGGGACAGUGGGGCUUGGAUCUUCUUCGUCCUUGUGGCCUUUGGCGAAUGAGGAUGAUUACACUGAUAAUUUGUGGGAUUAUAAUGAUCCUUUCUUCUUUGAUCUUUAGAAAAAUUUUAGUUCCGAUUGCUUGAUUAGAUGUGUCUUCGGAAGAUCACACACAGAUUGAAACUAUUGUGAAUAAAAAGUGUUGCAGACACGACGCAGGCAGACGCUGACGCUCAAAGUUUAUUGCUUGUUAUUACUAGUAUUAAUGAUUAACUGUGGAUACUGAAGGUGGUAGAAAUAAAUUAGUUUUUCCAGUUUAGAUUUAGUGCAGCUGGAAAAUAAUUGCUGAGAACUCGAAUGCAUUCUUGCUGGUGCUUGGGAUGAAUCCAGGGUUAUCUUACAACAUUUGUCUCAUUCCAAAUUGAGGUAAGCCUUUUCUAUUAUUUGGAUUUCAAUGUAUGAUAAUACAUUUACUCAUUGUUGUCCUGGAUCAAAUCUCUUAUUUUUUUCAUGCAAUUUUAACUCUUGCAACCAUUAAUGAAUGAAAAAAAGAAUACAUGUUUCUCUCAGUUUGUCUUUUUACAUGUCUUUUCUCUUUAUUCAUCUAAUUAUUAUUGAUACAAACAUUCUCCAAUCUACACUUUUGUGUUCUUGCCCUUGCUGCCUAAACUGAUAUUGAUCUGGGAAGUGCUUUGUAAAAGAUUUGAAACUAGUUUAGUGGUUACAAGCUCUUCAGGACUACUUAAAUUUAUCGUAGUGGAUCUAAUUUACCUUCUUAAGAUUUUAGUAGUUUAAGUUAUUUUUAGUCAUUUUGGGAAGUUUUAAAAGUAAAUGUAUAUAUAUAUAUUAUUAGCAAGUUUGAUCUAAUCAAAGUUUAAUAAAUUGGUAUUGAAUGAUAAGGAAGGAUAAAUAGUAAAUGUUGAAAUUGAUUUUGAAAUCGGUUUCAUACUUACUUGGUGAUACUUUUCUGUGUUAUUUAAAAACAUGAUUCUGGUGUACUUUAUAAUCUCAAUCUAGAGGGAAAGAAUGAGUGUUGCCUUGUUAAAUUUAGUUUCAGAAGUUUAUUUAAAAGAAAAAUAAUUAUAAGAAAAUGUGAAGUUAUGCAAACUGUUUUUAUAUGAAGUCUUCUUUUUAUAGCCUUUGUAGUUUUUUUAAUAAUUUAUCAUUCUAAAUGAUAUAUUUAAUAUACUAAAAAAAGGUGAGUUAUGAAAUGAUAUAAUCUCCAUUUUUUUCAUGAAGUUAGUGGUAAGAAAAGUAUUCUGCUGUUCACUAAACUUAGGUAUGUAUGAAAGAUAAACUUAAUAUUCCAAAACAUAGUCACUUUUUAAAUGUUCUAAUCUUCACUUUUCAAUAACUAACUGGUAACAUUCUAUAUUACUUUUAUAGGUAUGAAAUAUUUUUAUAUAGUUUCUCUACCAAGCAUUACUCUGUAAUCAAUUUUGUUUAUUUCUGUAUAAUUUAAAUGAUAAAUUUAAUAUUGGGAAACAUGUGACUAAUGGUAUAACAUCCAUUUUUCAUGUGUCAGUUGCUUGCAUUCUUUUUUAAAAAAUUUAUAUCCUUUUUACUUUUUGCCCACCUUCGUUUUAUUUUUAUAUAUUUUAUCUGUCUUUACUUUCCAUUAAAGUUAAGUUCUUGUUUCAUUAAAAUUAUAAUGAAAGGUUUAAUAUUGAACUACAAAUUAUUGUUUUUACUAUUCAAUUUAAUUUAGAAUGUGAAAUGCAAAAUUAGAUUAUAUAUUUUUUUUAAAUUUGUCUAGUUUACUUCUUUUUCUUUAGCUGAAAAAUGAAUUUAUUUUUUUUAAUGCAUUUCAAUUUAUAAAUAAAAUUAAUGAAUUGAAACGGUUUUGAUUAAUGACAUUUUCAUUCAUUCAUAUUUUCCAAUAAAAAGUAAUAAAUAUCAUUGCAACAUUCCAUGUAUUGAGUUUUUUUAGUUUGAGCCAUUUUAGUUGCAUGAACACAUUGGAAAUUUACCAUAUAUGAAUGCCUCACUUCCUUUUUUGUUGAAAAUUAACUUCUUAGACAGAUAUGAUUUAGAUGUUCAAUGCACAUUUAGUCCAAGCUUGAAAAAAUCAUAUAGAUAUUUCAUUAUCUCUAAAUAUAAUAAAACACCAACUUUUGAAAUUGUAAUAGCUUAAUAAUUUUUUUUAUAAAAUUAGUAAAAUAUAGAGUCUCUGAAAUAUAUACUGUCGAUUACUUAAUUUUGUUAAAAUUGAAAAUAUGUUAAUGUGAUUUUUGAAAUAAGUAAAAUAAUAAUAUAAUCUGAUUUUUAAUAAAAUAGUAAUAGAGUCUCUGAAAUUAUAUACUCUCAAUUAUUAGUUAUCACUCAAAUUGGAUUUUGAAAUCGUAUUAAUAAAAUGGACUGGUCAUUUAUUUGAAAUGCUUAAUUGUUUCACUGACACAGAUAUCAUGUAUAAUACAUUUCCUGUUUUCUAAAAGCUUUAAUUAUUUUUAUGACAAUUUUUUAUAAAUUAUAAAAUUUGAGAGGAAAAUAUUUAAUUAAGUUAGUUUGUUAAACUUUAAGGGUUAUUUUUAUUAAAUUGUUAACUCAAUUUAUUAUUAACUUUGACAAAAUAAUUCAAUAUAUCAAAAGUCUCUAUACUUUCUACUAUUUAGUUUUUUUAGUUCUUCUGAAAACACUAUGAAUGGUGAUUAUGGAAAAAUAUUUAUAUUGAAAAUAUUUUAAUAAUUUAACUAGGUAAAUAACUUAGAAAAACUAUGUCAAAACAUGCUACUUAUUUAAGUAAGUUAUAACUUGAAUGUUUCUAACUACAUACUUCUUUAUGAUAUAAUUUCAUUAAAAAAAUGGUUUUGUGAAUAAAAUAUAUUCUUUAUCAGGGUAGUUUUAUUAUUAUAUAUUUUAAAUAUAAACAAUUUUUCACUCACUUCUACUUUUAUGAUAAUUGAACAAAUAAUACAAUCUGUUAUAAGUUGGGCUCAAAUUAUUAUAUCAGAUCUGUUGGGCAGGGCCGUACAAUAACUCCUUGCUUUUUUGUUCUGUAAUGUUUUACUGUAACGGGCCUAUUAAAUUCAGGAUAAACUAAUUUAUGUUAAAAAAAUGUUUUUUUAUUUGCCUUACAACCUCAACUAAAUGUAGAUCAAUUAAAAAAAAUUAAGACUAAAUUUAAAUAGAUAAUUCCAAUUACUAGUAGUCAUACUUUUUUCUCUAAUAUAUAUUUCACUGAUAUCUAUCAUUUAUACCUUGAAUUUUGAAGAAUUUUUUCUUACACUUACAACUUGUAAAAAAUUGUUAGCCUUACAACCUCAACUAAAUGUAGAUCAAUUAAAAAAAAAUUAAGACUAAAUUUAAAUAGAUAACUCCAAUAAAAUUUACUCAAAUAAUAGUAAAUCUUUGUUAGUUAAAUGCCAAGGCUUAACAAAAAAUUAGAAAACAAAAUUAUAUUUAAUUAUAAUUUUAUCAAAUAUACAGUUCUAUAUCUAUUUUAAUGAUAAAUAAUGAGACCAUAACUCAAAUAUUUUAUUUAAAAGUGGAAACAAUCAUCAUUAAAUAUAUGCUAUCAUAUAUGUAGGAUAAAAAAAAAAAAGUUUAUACGGAAGAUUAAAACUAUAGUAGUCUUAUAGUUAUAUAUUUGAGUCCACAAAAUCAUAACUUAAAACUCUUGAAAUGAUUAGGCUGUCAUAGUAUUAGUCAUGUGCAAAGGUUAAUUUUUUUCAUAUAUCUUAUAAAUAUACACGAUUUCAUAAAUAAUUUGAUGUUGGCAAAUUUAAAAAAAAAAAGUUUAUUUUAAAAUUAUUCUCGAGUCAUCUCAAUUUGAAUAUUAGCAACACUUUUUCUAUUUAAAAAAAAUUACCCUUUAUUAUAUUAAAGUUAUCAGAAGUCAUCAAAUUCCAAUAGAAAGUCAUUUAAGUAAUAAAAAAGUACUAAAAAUGUAUCACAGUUCACAAAACUUUUGUAAUAUAUUGGAUAUCAUUUUAAAUUUGAGCAUGAAAUAUAAAUAAAUAAAUAAAGUAAACUUGUUAUUGGUCCAUCUGUUUAAAAUCAUGCAUUAGAAACAUAUAAAAAGUGAAUCUUCACUGUUCCUGCUUCAAAUUCUUUUUUAAUUUAUAAUGUAAAGCGGCACAACAUUAAUUAUUAUUUAAAGUGUGUUUACUGUGUAUAGUUACUUAUAAAUGGUUGGAAUAUUCUUUAUAUACUUUCUAAUUUAUAAUUUUUUUUGUUGAUAAAAAUAAAUAUCUGCAUAACUUUCUGUUAUUGGAAGUUUAUAUAAUUAUAAGCUAACAAUUAUACUCUUCCAAAAAAAAAAAGUUUAAAAUUAAUACUGUGAUUAUUUUAUAAUAAUAUUACAUGAGUAUUUCUUGAGAAGAAAGUAAUAAAAUGUUACAAAAGAUAGGCAUUCACAUAAUUACAGUAGUUAACUAUGACUUUUUAAAACUAAAUUAUGUGCCGUUAAUGGUACGGAAUGUAAAAUCUAUGUAUUCAGUCAAAUACAUAUUCUCAAUUAAUUAAUUUAUUGAGUGUGAAGUUAAUUCAACAAUGAAGCUUUUGAAUGAGUUAUUGGGUCACUUAUUCCCAUUAAAUCUUAAUUUAUGUUAUUUAGUGGAACAUAUGUCUCAUUUAUUUGCUAAACUCCCUGAUUUCAUGGAGUUUCUUUUAAAAAAAUAUAUUAAUUUUCAUUUUUUAAUAUAUCUUCAAUAACUGAUAUAAAAUUUUAAGUAAGCGAAAAGAUUUACCACACACAAAUUUUAUAUUGAUUAAAGCUAAAAUCAUUAAUGAAUCUUUUAAAUAGGAAAUAAAUUUAGAGAUAAAAAUAAUUAAUUAUAAUAAUUAAAUAAGAUAUCAUUUUACAAAUUUAAAAUUAUUUUAUUUUAAAUAGUUUCUACUAUUAAGACAAUUAUAAUUAAUUUUUGAAUUGUAGUUUAAAUUAAUUUCUUAUGAUAAAUAUCAAGAUUGUAGUCAACAAUAGUAAGUAGAUGAAAUUUUGGUAAUUAAUUUAGAGACUGAUUUAGAUUCUAAUUACAAAUUAAUUAUAUUUCUUUAAUAAUAAUAAAUACUAUUUUAAAUAUAAACUUUUUAAUUUAUAAAAUAGUAUCUAAACUAAUUUAAUAAUUAAUUACUUUUUUUUUCUAAAUUUAGUUGUCAUUAAAUAAUUUUUCUACAUUUAUAUAUAUAUAUAUAUAUAUAUAUAUAUAUAUAUAUAUAUAUAUAUAUAUAUAUAUAUUCUUGCUUAAAAAAAUUUCAAACUAGUUCUUUUAAGUCCUCCAUUUUGGUAUUUUUUUCACUAUCGUUGAUAAAAGAAAAUUAAAUAUUUAUGUAUUCUCCAUAAUUUAUUAUAAUAAUCCUCUUAUUUUCGAUUAAACGAGGUAUUGAAUGCUUUUAAUAUUUGACAACAUUGAUUAUCCUUCAUUUAAUAUCAAAAGUGUGUAAAAUAAGUUUCAAUAGCUUUGUUUUUCUUGAGAUUUUCUGUAAUGAGAAGGAAAAAAAAGAUCGAAUCUUUCACCUUAUCUUUUCUUUACUAAUUUUAGGUUCAAAAUGUGUAAUUAAAAAUUUUGCUAUUUUAAUAAUUACAAAUAAAUUAUAAAGGAAUGUCUCUGUCAUUACCAGUUAAGGACAUUCUAUAAAUGAAUAUAGUAUAAACAUAAAAAUAUAAAUGUAGUAUAUAUUUUUUGAAGAGAUGAAGGUCUAAUAUAUAUAAUAUUAAUUAUAUUCAUCGUGUAAGACAAAGAAGAUGAACUAUGAACGUAACAUUAAACUAUUGGUGUGUACUUAUAAAAUAGUUUCAUCUUCGACACUGUUAUGGAUAAGCUACCAUGAUGUUGUUGACCAAGUCCUAAUGGACCAAAAUCAUGUACGGUAGGUACAUUCGUACAUUCAUAAACUAUAAUAAUUCAUUCAACUUUUGAAAACAAUAAUUUAUAAAAUUUAAUUUUCCUUCCAUGUAUUUUUUUAAUAAAUCGGUAACCACAAUAAUUUAUACCCUCGUAACGUGAAAUGGCCGUAAAAUUUGAACUUGUGAAUAUUAUCUAUAAACAUGAAUUGAGGCAUCAUUUUUUCUAUAUGGAUUCAGAUAAAGUCAAAGAUUUUCUUUCAGCACAUGUAACUGGUUAUUCACAGUUAAAGUCAUAAAGUUUAUAGCUAUUAAUUGGUUGUCAUCCAUUGCUCACAGUUUUACAGAAUGGAAGUCUGAAAAUAAUGCCGGCUCAAAAUUAAACAUCAAGAUAAUUUUAAAAGUUAGGUAAAAAAUAGAUAAGUAAAUUAAUAGUGUAUCGUAUGAUCUUUAACUAGAUGUUUGAAUGAGUAUUUACAAUCAAAAUUGGACUAUCACGGAAGGUUAGUGUCAAGAAAUUAUCUCUCAUGUUAAAUAAGUUAAGAUAAAAUUUGAUACUAGUUGGAUCGUAAUUAAGUCACUACUAAUCCAAUGUUCAUUCGAAAAUAUAUGGAAAAUGAAAUUUUAACACCAUUUUUUGACACCAUUUUGACAUUGCACAUGUGUCAAAAUGUGGUUGGACGAUUUCAAAUUAAAAAACAAACUUUGGUUUUUCUCUUCCAAAUAUACCUCUGUCUCAACUUUUUUAAUUUGAAAUCGUCCAAUCACAUCUUGACACAUGUGUAGUGUCAAAAUAGUGUCAAAAAAUAGUGUUAAAAUAUCAUUGUCCAAAAUAUAUAAAUAUGUUGGAAAUCCAAAUGUGAGUCUAAAUCGUACAUUAGAUAAAAAUGAGAAAGUAGAACAUUAUAUAAAAAUAAAAGAUCCAUUAACCCAUUGUCUUAAGGUUUUGUUAGAUAAAAAGUUAUUUCAAUUCUUUAUAUAUUUGGACUCAUAUCUCAUUAUUAUUGUUUCUCUUCGGUGAACCUCCUCUUUGAUUGACGGUAUGAUUAGUCUUCGUCAGACAGUUUGGACGAACUAUUACAAUAAAAAUAACAUUUGAUUCUUUGAAUUAUUUUAUUGAUAAAUGUUAGACCUUGAUUUCAAAAAAAAUUAUAAAUAAUGGUUUGUUAUUUUAUUAAGGAGAAAGGGAAAGAAAGAAAAAGAAUUCUGUCUUUUUAUUUUCGUUCUUCUAACAAUGAAGCAAUUCAUAAUCUAACAGCGAUGCAUGUGUGGCAUUACGUAGUUUUUGAAUGAUAAGUUUGUUCUUAAAUUUUCAAGGAAGAAAGCUAAUCUUAUUUGUUUGGUAUAGAUAAUGUAUUUGUUUAAUGUGUUAUUAUUAAUCAAUGCAUGAUUUGACAAAUGCUCCUCGUAUUUCGGUUCUGUCAUACGCGUAUGCCAAGUGUAAUGGAUUUGAUCGCGUUUAGUUUAACUUAACCGCAAAGUUUAUCAAAGAUUAAAGAGUAUAUUUUCAAGAAUAAAGUAUAAGAGUAACAUGUAUUAAUUAAAAACUAACCAUUAAAAUUAUAAUUAAUACUAUGAUUUUUUAAAAUAACAUCAAAAUCAUUUAGGGGUAUUUCUUGUGUAGAAAGUAAUCGAAGCUUAUCAAAGAUAGGCAUGCACAGAAUUAUAGUAGUCAUAAUAGGAACUAUGACUUUUGAAAACGAAACUAUGUGCCGUUUAUUCCACACAAUGUAAAAUCUCUGUUAUUCAGUCGAAUAUAUAUUCUCAAUUAAUUAUGCACAUUUUUAUUGCAUUAACACGGAUUUCAUAUCUAUUGAAUGUGAAGUUAAUUCAACAAUGAACCCUUUUAAUGAGUAUUUGGGUCAGUCAUUCCCAUUAAAUCUAAUUGAUGUUAUUCAGUCAAAUAUCACACCUUAUUUAUUUGUCAAAAUCCCUGAUUUCAUGGAGUUUAUUUUAAUAUAUGUAUAAUAUUAUUUGUUUUCUAUAUAUAUCUUCAAUAACUUGCAUAAAAUUAAAAGCAAACAACACAAUAAUUUACAUACAGAAAAAAUAUUUAAUGAAUCUUUUAAUUAUUUAAUAUAUUUUUAAAAAUUAAUAUAUUUAAACAACCUUUUCACAAAAGGUUGAUGUUUUAUAAUCAAAUAUAUAAAUUAAUUAAGGUGAAAUUAUUUAACUUUAACCAUUAAUCACAAGCUUUUAUGUUUUAAAAUUGUAUUUUACUAUGAUAUUGCAUUUUUUUAAAAGGACAUUCGUGGUUUGUGCAAUAAAAAUGAUUUCUAAUAAUUUUUUUUAAGUAUUGAAUUUUCAAAAGUAAUUUUGCUUCUAUUGUUUAAUUUAUACGGCCUAAAUAUAAUAUCCUAACACUAGUACAAAAAUAGCGUAUAAUGUUAUGUGUUCAACGUCCAACCACUAAAUAACCAUUGUUAAAAAUGAUUGGUGACAUUUUGUAAAUAAAUGCAUUUAUUAAACUUCGUUUAGAAUUUUAAUUCGACGUAAAAGGUUAUAAAACAUCGAAUGUCCCAGUGUAAGACGUCAAAAGGUUAGUGAAUUCAAUAAAAAGUUGUGUGAGAGAUUGAAAAUUCAUUAACUUUAUCUUAACGCGCACGAGACCAUCUUCUCUUCUCAAACUUUUCUCGAACGAAGUUUGACAACCAUCACAUGUAAUAUUUCUUUCACUGGAUACAAAUGCAUGUUAAUUAACUACUUUAUGUAUGAUUUUCGUUUGUUUUGACUGAUUAUUUUCGUGUUCUUGUUCUUCAUAGGCGCAUUCUGCUUUCUCUCUCACUGGUGACGACACUUUAUUUCGACGAACCCACGUUUUGAAGGUUAGUUUUCAUUUUGUUGAACUUGUUUGUUGUUGUUAUUUGAUCGAAUUUGUUUGUUGUUGGUUAUUGUUAUUUCUUAUUGAUACUGCACCACAGGUUCAUAGUUCAUGCUUUAUAAAAUACAAAAAACUGAAAUUUAUUGUUUUUCUACUUUUCAGGUCUCAUAAAGUUGUAAAAAAGGAUCGCAAUUAAUUAAAAAAAUAAAAUAAAUUGAUUAACGUCGUAUAUUGACAAAACUCGAUGUUAAUUUAACGUCAUAUAUUGACAAAAAUCGAUGUCGCCGAAUUUUUUCAAUUCGAUGUCAAUUUAACGUCUCUCAAUAUGACGUUGACCUCGAAUUCGAUGUGAAAGACCUAAAAUAUUCGAUGUUGUACACUAUUUUUGUAUUAGUGUAAUCUUACUUAUCUAGUGAUAAUAAUAUAGAUUUUAUGGUCACUCAACAAUCAUACAGUGAUUUUAAUUUUAAUAUAGUUAUCCUGAUGUAAAUAUAAGAAGGUCUUCGCUUCUUUCAAAUGUUUAGUACACACUUCAUUAUAUAUAAGAUUUAAAUUUAUUUUUGAAUUUGUAAGAAUGUCAAACGAGUACACAACAACUUGAUCACAAAAUUAAUUAAGACCUUGAGAUGAAAAAUCAAACAUUUAUAAGUGUAUCUUAAAUUUGGAUUUGCAAGUACAAGAAAAAUCAAAAGAAGAGUAUUUCAUACAUAGUGAGUUGAAUGUUUCAAAGAAAAAAAGUCAUUAACUUGAAAACUAUCAAUUUCUAAUAAAACUCUUAACAUGUGAAUAAAAUUUUGUAUAAAGUAAUCAAUAAUUUCAUUCAGGAUACCUGUAAAUAAAAUUUUUGCCAUAUAAAAAAAUUAAAAUGUGUGUAGAUUCAUAAUGUAAUUUGCAUGAUAUUCUUUAAAAGAAAUUUAAAUGUAAGUCUAAAUGUUACGUUAAAUAAAAAUAAGAAAAUUGAAAAACAUAAAAAAAAAAACAAAAUUAUAAAUUUAUUAUAUUAAAGGUUUUGAAUUAAAAAUAAUGUAUUUUUUUAAGGUGAAUUUGACUUUUUCGGAAGAUUAAUCAUUAGUAUUUCUUCAUUUAUUUAUAUUAUUAAAUAGUCUAAUACAUAAAUAGAAAAAAAAUGAGUUGUAUUUAAAAAAUUUCAUUUUUGGAAUGUUUUCACUAAUUUUGAAUGUUUACAAGCGAGAGCUAUCAUUUUAUAUUGGUAAUAACAUGCUUUUUUUUAGAACAACAAUAAUAAAAUCCGGGAGAAAAUCAUAGGUGGCAUAAUACAAAAUACUAUUUUUGUGUUUUAUCUCGAGAAAAGACAAAUAAGAUAAUUAAAAAUGACUUUGUCUUGUGACAGUGAAAAAUAUCUCUGUAUUUUUUUUAUAAUACCAUUUUUAAGAGCUUAAACAAAUGUAAAAAAAAAAAAAAUGUUUGUCUAUACAGUUACAUACUUGUAUUCUUUCACACGUUUUCUGAAAAUAUUUCAAACCAUGUUUCGAAACAGGAAACAAUAUCAUUAUAUUGUCUACCUGAAUUUCUCUUAAAAGCAACUCUUCUUUUUAUAUUUAAAUGACAUUUUGAACAUUUAAGUCAACAUUAAUUACUUUCUUGUCUUUUAUAUUUUCAUCAUUUAUUGGCAUUUAAUGUCAAUUACAAUGUAAAACGAAAGGAUACAAUUUUUUAAGUAUUUUAUUAAAUAAAAGAAAUUAUAGCAUUUCUUGAUUUCCCUAAACAAAUUCUUAAACCACGCUUAAAAACUAAAAUAAUAUUUUUUUCAGUGAAUUUAAUACUUAGCAUUUAAUAAACAUGUGAAUUUAAUUUUGAUAUUAAAACCACUGAACAUUUGUAAAAUAUACGAAUUUCAAUUGGAAUUAGUUAUUGAUUUGAAGAUGGAAAUUUAUGUUUAUCAGGAUUAAUUUAGAAAUAUGGAUUAAAAAAUUGAGUUAUGUUAUAUAUAUAUAUAUAUAUAUAUAUAUAUAUAUAUAUAUAUAUAUAUAUAUAUAUAUAUAUAUAUAUAUAUGAAAAAAAAAAUACAUCUAAGAAUCUUUUAAGAAUUAUGAUAUCAUCACACUUCUCAUCAUCAUAACUCUCAUAAAUAACAAUAAUAUCAAUAAAACCAAAAAAUGAUCACAUCAUUUAUCUCAUCCAAAAUGGGUGAUACAAUGUAUUAAAUCACCAUAACUCUCAUAAAUAACAAUAAUAUCAAUAAAACCAAAAAAAUGAUCACAACAUUUAUCUCUUCCAAAAUGCGUGAUACAAUGUAUUAGUAUCAUCACAUAUUUUUAUAAAAGUAUUGAUAUAAACAUGUGAUGAUACUAAUACAUUGUAUCACCCAUUUUGGAUGAGAUAAAUGAUGUGAUAUUUUUUGGUUUUAUUGAUAUUAUUGUUAUUUAUGAACAAAGUUAUGGUGAUAAUAAGUGUGAUGACAUCGUGAUUUUUAGGUGAUAUCAUGUAUGUUUUUUUAAAAGAUAUAUUUGAAGGCAAAUGAAUAAAUGUAAGUGGAAUUGAAGAUAAAGUUAAUAUUGUUUCUUUUAAAAUAUUUGAAGAUAAGAUAAAAGUGAGGGAAUUUAAAAGUAAAAUUUGUGAAAUUUUAUGAAUGAUUUGUUUUUAAAUUUAAUAUAAAAUUAUUUUUUGAUUAGUUAAAAUAUUUUUUUAAAUGAGGUUUAUGAAUGGUUCUGAAGAAAAAUAAUUAAUAUAAUUUUUUUGACAUAUUGAAAAAUUUACAUUUUAAUAAUAAAUUUUAAAAGCUAAAUAUUUUAUUAUUAUUAUUAUUAAUAGUGAUUAUUUAUGUGAUUAAGAUUGUUCCAACAAAAGACCCUCCAUUAAUAUAUAAUAGUUGGAACAAAAACAAGCAGCGAGGUCCUGUAAAUUAAAAAAAGGAUAAAUAAUUAGCAGUGUGUUCGAUUGUCAUAAAAAGGUAAAAAUAAUUAAGUUUAGUUUGAGUAUUAAAAAUGUAAUGAUUCUUUUGAGCAGAAAACUUUUGAAAACGCACUAGUAACAGAAUGUGUAGACACGAGUUUAAGGUUUAAUUCGUUUCAUUUUUAGAUAAACACUAACACUUAUAAAAUUAAAAAAUCCAAACUGUCAUGUGCCCCACUCAGAGAGUAUACCUAAUCACCAAACCAAACGUAACUAUAAAUAAUGUUAGAUAGUCAAUUAAUAGAAGCAUUAAUCUGAGCUAUAUUGCAGUGGCAGCCACUGUUUACACCUCUCUCCCAAACGCCGUCGUUUUGCCCCGCCACCGCCGCUUCCUUCUCGAACCUUCCACCAUGUCGAUUCGCGAUUCCGAAUCCUUCAAUUGGCACAGCGACGCGGAGCUCGAAGACCAGGACCUCCAUAUCCGCGGCCAGAAGCUCUUCUUCAUCGUCGUCGUUUUCUCGAUCGUCCUCCUCUUCACCGCGCUCUUCCUCUUCGCGCGACGGAUCUGCCGCCACCACGGCCUCCUCUUCGACGCCGUCCCACCGCACCAGGCGCCGCCGACGCUUCCUUCUCAGGACGACGGCCUCGACGCCGACGCGAUCAAGCGGCUACCGAUCAUACUGCACCAGCGCGCGGCGACGGAGGAGACGGAGUGCUGCAUCUGCCUCAGCGCGUUCGUCGACGGCGCGAAGCUGAAGGUUCUCCCUGGAUGCGAGCACAGCUUCCACAGCGAGUGCGUGGACAAGUGGCUCGCGAAUCACUCCAAUUGCCCUCUCUGCAGAGCUUCGCUGAAACUCAACCCUUCGUUACCGAGGAUUUUGAUCCAAUCGCCACCCGUUACAACAACGCUUCCGCUCUGAUACUUUUUUUCGGUUCAGAUUAUUAACUUAGAAACAGUUGAGUAGUUCUCACUUGUUUUGGAUCAUAUUUUGCAUGUCUAAAUCCUUGUAAGAACUACUAAUGAAUCGCUGAGAAAUAUAUUCACAGUUCUAAAUCCUUUCCUUCAUAGCAUUGCUUUCAAAUUUGAUAAUUCAUAAAUAUAAAUAAUUAUUUAUCCAUAUACAUAUAUAUUAUAAACAUUCUUUUAAUGCAUGAAUAUUAAAAUCAAUUUAGACACUCUUCACUAUAAGUACUGCUAGUUAUCUACUUGCACGGUUUGAUAAGUUGGAUAGAAGAUUAAGAUCUGGAUAAGAAAUAUAUGCGAUUAUAUAGUUUUUAUUUUAAGAAAUAUAUAAUAACGUGGGAUGAAAUAAGAUCUGUGUCGGGAGUUUUCCGUAUUUUGAACGCAUUUCAAUAAUUUAGAAAAGAAAAUACCCAAAUUCCGAAUUUAAAACUUCAAAUAAUUUUAUUUUUUUAGUAUAACAGGAGUCAAAAUAAUUGAGUGUGGUUUUGGCAUUUGAAUACUAUUACAACACAGAAAAAGUAUGAGUGUGUUUUUUUUUUCAGUGCUUUGCUGCAUUUCUUUAUUUGGAAUGUAUGAAUUAUUAGUCGCAUUUGCCGAAGUUGGAGUAUUUAUUGAGAGUUAAUUAUAUAUUAAUAAUUUAUUGGAAGAUGCCAAUUGCCAAAGCCAAAAAAAAGGGGUACCCAAGAAAUUCCUUCACAUGUGACAGAGUCCAACGCAGAGGUUUUUCAGAGUUUUAUAUUAUUGGUUGAGUUUUGUUGCCACGUUGGGUGAUGGAAAAGUACGAGACCGAAAAGUUCAUAAUAUUAUUUGCUUGGACCCUCAUCCAUACAAUAUUACGCUCUUUUUAUAAACUAAGUCUAUAAGCUAAGAGUGAAGGUUCUGUUUGUUUUUGCAAAAAUAGAUAAUGGGUGACUUUUUAAUAACUUGGGACCCAAAACGCGGAAAAGCGCGACUAUGCUACGACCCCUCCCUUCUUUAUCCAAAUCAAAUGUAAGUUUAGAAUAAGCCUAAAAAGUUAACCUAAAUAGAUUUAAAGAAUUAUACAUGUUUUAAAGUUUAGAAAUAAAAGUAUAAGUAUUUAUGCUUAAUAGGAUAACCAUGAAGAGUUCUUCUAUCCGUCGAACGUCUUUCCACUUCUUGUCCUAGUAAUCGAUUAAUGUAAGGGAUGACCUGCAGAAUACGCUCUGACGCUCAUGUCAAAAUAUUUCUGUGUAGGUCUUUUGUUAUUCAAUAGGAAGUAAAAACGAGUUUACCUUGAAAUACUUUCAUAGAGUUUAUAAGAAUAUGACCAAUUAAUUUAUCUUUUAAUGAUCAUUAAUGUAAAUUUUAACUAGUAGUUGUUGUGAUAUUAAUUACAUUUUAACUCUACUAAAUGAUUGUCACGACUGAGCAGUCAUGAAAUGCUAUGUAAACUGCUUGUUCUUUUUAUCUAGUUUGUCACCAUAAUCGAUUGGUCAGCUAUAAGUAUAUAGUAAUAAUAAGAAAGUGUAUUUAACAAUCAUUUGACAAUAUUUAUAAGAAUAAAAUAGUUUUAAUAAAAGUUAAUUUUAUAUUUAGAAAAGAAAAGAGAAAGUGAAGAAUAAUAAGAAAUAGUGUGAAUAGGUUUUAAAAAAAUUCUUGUGUUAAAUUUAUAGUAUAUAUGUUUUCUGUGAUGACAAGUUACCCACCACUUGGAUUUCGCUUGCAAGGCGUGUUUCUUGCUAUUUGUUUAUGUGAACACGUUUUCAGUUUCCAAACGGAAUUUGUAGUCUCUUUUACAGAGCAAGCAAUUCUACUUUUUACCAACUUUUAAGUAUUCACAUGUUUCUUUAGGGAAUCAAACUCAGAUAAAUAUAUAUACAUAUAUUUAAGUAUUCCCUCUCUUCAACUCUUGUAUCUCUUUGAGUUCAUUUACUGAUGUUGAAACAUUCCUAUUUGAAGCAAUUCUCAAUGUUAUUUUACUUUUGCAGUGCUUUUUUUUCUCCACCAUAAUUGAGUAUUGCAACGUUUUGAAUGUUCCUAUUCCACUUUGAUUUUGUUGUGUUUUUGUCUUCCAAGUCUUUAACCAAAAUGUUACAUGUUAAAGCAUAAUAAAAUACUUUCCUAUUAUAAGAUAUUAUAAUUGCAUACCAUCUAACAUUUCCCUUUUCUUUACACCAUAAUUCCAUGACUUUUUUAUCCAUUUGAAGUCCCAACUUGUCUCAGUUGUUCUAUUCUAACAUGUACUUCGUCAACCAUUUAUAAUCCAAUUCAAUCCGGUUCUACAAGUCACUCUUUCCUCAAUAAUUACAUUAUCCUAUUUAUACAUAUAUAGUUUUACUCCAUAAUUACAUAUCCUAUUUAUACAUGGUUCUGCCAACUAAAAAAAUCAUUUUCAAAACUAUACCACACAAAAUGCAUAACUAGCCAUUUAACUAAUUACAGAAGUAAACAAUUUUUUCUUUUGUUUGUACCAUCAGUACUGGGUAAGUAUUUUAAUAUGCAAAAUAUUGUACUGACAAAAUGUGGUAUUACACCCUUUUGUGCUUUACUUCACCCAUAUUUCUAGAGUAUUUUUAUAUACAAACACUGGUAAAAACAAUAGGUCUUAAUUUUGGAAAACAUGAAGGUGUUUCUUGAGGGUCUUCAAGUUUUUAUCUUUUAUUUUAAGUUUCCAUUCAUUUAUUGUAGUUCUACAUAAGUUCCCAACAUAGUAUAAAUCAUUAAGAAUUUAAGACUUUUCUAAGUUUUCAAUUUUUUUAAAAUUUAUUACGGAUUUAAGACUCUUUCUAAGUUUUCAAAUUUUUUUAUAUUAUAUUCAGUAUUAAUAUCAAUUGAGGACUUAGAAAGACGGUGCAAUUCCGUUAAUUUAUUAUUUUUUUAUAAUAUUCUUAAAUUUUUGACAAACAACUUUUUUUUGUUUCAUUGUCGUGUCUGUCUUUCUAUUACAAUGGUGGUCGUGAUGCAAUGGCGACGGUGGACUGAGCAUCAACAAUUCCAAGGUGGAGUGGGAGGAUGAGAAGAUGAGAGGAAAGGGGGGAGAAGGAGAAGAAAAAAAAAAAAGAAUGUGAAGGAAAGGAAGAAGAAGACCAGAUUAUGACAUCUACAAAUUAAUUUUACGGACCAUUAGAAUAUGUUAAUAAUUACUAACAAAUAUUUAUCAAUGGAUUUGAGUUCAUCCAACAGAUUUCACACUUUUAUUAAUGUAAGUCAAAAUCCACUCUUAUUAUUUCAUUUUACAUAUUUUAGAAGUUAACUUAACCAUGUAAAUUUACAUUCUUCCUUGUUCCAUACCCAUGUGUCCUACCUUUCCUUAUCUAUAGUUACACUUUCAAUAUUUUUGUUUCAAAGUUGCACUUGAGGGAACUCCCAUUCAAACCAACCCCUUCUCCAUUUCAAUCAUUAUUCCUAUAAGUGGUUAUUCCAUCUUCUUAGUUUUUCAAUUGUCUUCAUCUUAGUUGAAACAACAAAUAAUACAACAUAUAACUUAUCCACUUACUGAAAACUUAAUUUUACUCCUUGUUCAUAUCCUGCAAGUAAUAUUCUCCUAGAAUUGAACUAAUUUUCACUUCUUUGAUUGAUUUCAUAAUAUCUCUCUUCAACUAAGGUUCAAAUUUGUUAUCAGUAUGUCAUCCUCAUUGUUCCCUGUUUAAGCUCUAGCACUUAUUUUUAUCAUCAUCAAGGACACUAGGAUGGUUGACAAGAUCAUUAGUAUUCUUCAAAAUAUCAUUUUCUAGGUAAAAUUGUGCACAAGAAGUAAUAGGUGCUUUAAGUGUAUCUUCCAAUUCCCUUGGUUCUUCUAGUGUACUUGGUUCCUCCAUUGCAUCCUCAUCAACAUAUAAAAUUUUAUAUUUACAUUAAGCAACAUCAUCAUAUCCAUCAGUAGAUAUAUCAAUGUGAUGCAAUUUUAUAAUUGGUUGUUGAUUUGAUCAUUGAAUCUUGAUAUCGUUCACAUCAGGUAUCAAAUUUUGCAACCUUUGAUUCAUGUCAUCCAUCAUCUGAUUCACUUCAGUUUUAUGCUCAGUCAUCGUUUUCAUCAUCUUUUCUGAAGUGGCCUCCUUAGCUUUGUCAUUCACUAGCUGACUUAAAUCAUCAAACAUUUGUUUUGUUCUAAUAGCAAAUGUAGAAGCAUAUCUUCUAUGUCAUAUGAUGAAGUGUUCCAAACUUUGUACUUUCAAGAAAUCUCGAAUGAAAUUUGUUGGUAGAACUAAAAGUUAGAAGUAAUUCUAUAAAGUUGUUGUUACUUGCAUCCUCUAUCGUGUUGUAUAAUAUUUUGUUGUUUCCGUACCGCUCAUGCUCAAUACUUUUCCAUCGUUGAUCAUCUUACAAUUAUCUAUGACUUCAAGUGUCUUUCUUACUCCAUCCAUUGAUAACACGACUUCCUUAUAGGAUGGUCCAUUGGUUGUUGCAACUUGUUGUAGUAGUGCAUGUUGUUGCUCUUAUGAACCAAAUGGAACAAAUGAUGGAUGGGGUGACACAAAAUGUGAUUGUUGCUCAUAUUUAGAGAAAGAUGAUCUAAGGUAUAAAUAAUUCAGUUGAUGUAUAGUCAACUUACUUAUAUCAGGUACAAUAAUAAGCGUGAUAAUUUGUUGUUGAUAACCAUAUGAACCAUGUGAUUGCUCUAUACAAUAAUCACAGUUCAUUUGAAAAUCAUACUCUUGAUUAUUUUCAUGUGAAAUAAUUAUUUAUAUUUGUUUAAAGAUGUAUUCUGAAAAAAAAUAAGUUAAAAACUUGUUUAGUAGUCUUCUAAGAAGAACUCAAUUGACAACUUAAAACCUUAUUUUUUUCGCAGUCAAAAUAUUUUCAAUCUAUUUUCACAAAUUUUCCAAAAAAGUUCUUCACCCAAAAAUUAUGCUAAAAAAAUAAUAAUAAAUUUACAAAUUAAAAUAACUAAAGAAAAUAAAACAAAUAUUAGAAAAAUAGAGAAAAAGCAUAAAUAAAAAUAAAAUAAGAACAAAAUAUUAACUUUUUUUUUUCAAUUCAAAUAAUUACACAUUACAGAAAAUUAGUUACACUUUUAUCAUUAGUAACUACUUUUUCAAAGUUAAAUAACUACUAAUAAUAAAAAAAAUUAUUUAAACAAUAUUACUUGUAAUAUUUUAUUUUAAUAACUACAAUUUAUUUUAUUUAUAACUAUUAAGGUAAUCACGUGUCCAUAUUUUUUAAAUAUUUAUAUUACAUUAGUUAAAAAUAUAUGUAGAUUAAGCAAGUAAUUAUGUAAGAGACGAAUCAUGAGAAUAAUAAAAAAUCUCUUAUUGUCAACCGUAGAAACUAACUAUGAAUAUAAUGAAAAAAAAAGAGAGACAAUUUUAUACAAAAUAUUUCAAAAUACAGGUACUUCUGAAGUGUAAGUUAACAAUUAUAUUUUAAAAAAUCAGUUAAUAAUUAUUUUAUAAAGAAUAAAAAAAAAAUCAUUUUUAUAUUUAAAUAUACAUACGGUAGUUAUUAUAAUUAUUUACGGAACUUAAUUUUACUUAUACGGACACAUUUUUUUUAUAAAAGGAUGUUUAAAAUUUUUAAAUGGUCAUAAACUCCAAUUCAAAGAAGGCCAGGUCUAUUUAUCCUUUUCUUUCUAAAAACAAAAGUAACAUAAGCCAUGUAUGCAUGAUAUGAGACCAUUGCUUUUUGCAACCAACAAUUAUUAACCGCACCCUCUGAAAAAUGUAAAACAACUCAAACAUCUUCGACACUACUGCACGCACCAACACUUCUACUAUCUUCACCGCCACCACCUUUUCCAUUAUUAUGUAAAGGGAGAAGAGAGAGAAAAUACGAAAAAAUAAAUUGUUCCAAAAUAUAUAUUUCAUAUAUUUCGAAAAACUGUUCGAGAUUGUAUUUCAUGCAUUCAGAAAAUUUUAAUCAGAAAUUAUUUUUCUGGAAGUUCUAUUUCACAAAUUUGAUUAUGUAAACUUUGUUUCUAAAAUUUCGUUUCAAAAAUAUUAUUCUAAAAAUUUUGCAAAAGUUUAUGAAAAUAAUUUUUAGAAUGUUUAUUUCAAAAAUCACUUUUCAAAUAAGAAAAUGGUCAUUUUAUAAAUUUGGUAGGUGGACGGAGAUAUUGAGGGAGUGCAAGAAGUAAUAGGCAUGUUCAUAUUGAUAAUGCCGAUAUAAGCCCAUAAGCCCAUUGAUUAAAGAUGCAUUCAGGCUGGGCCUUUGGUUAGAGCCCAAUAUUUCCUAGGGUUUCUUGUAGGCUAUAAAUUGCUGCAUCAUUAUCAUGUUUUGUCUUCUUAGUCCUCCGUUAGUUCUCAGCAGCAAUCGGCUAGGGUUCGGAUUUGAAGAAGGGUCGGGAGUUUGUUCACCAUGAGGGCCAAGGUAUCGUCCUUUCUACGCUGUUGAUUAUUUCGUUUCCUUUUGUCUAUUAUGAGGUUCAGCUCUGAUUACGAUCGCUUCUCUUCUUGUAGUGGAAGAAGAAGCGUAUGAGGAGAUUGAAGAGGAAGCGCCGAAAGAUGAGACAGAGAUCCAAGUAGUGCUUUAAUCUUAGUUUGUUUCUGUUGAAUUUUACAGUUGUUUAUGUUCUCAAAUGGAAGCUCAGUAGUUAGUGUUACUGGCUUUUCCUUUUUGUGUUUUGAUACAUUUUGUUGGCUUUAAUUAGUUUAUGUUUGGUUUUGUCUUAUUAGCUCGAAACAAUGUGCGAAUCAACAAAAUUUCUUAUUUGCAUCUCUGCUUUUCUCAUUGCUAUUUCGCCUAGAUGUUUCCCUAAACUUUUUAGGGCGAUUAUAAUUUUAGUUUAUUUCUACGUCAAUUUUUUCCGAUUUAAUUAGUUGGUCUUUUGAUUGGAAUG